AAAAUAAAAAAAAUAAAGAAAAAUAGCUUAAAAAGAAAUAGCUUAAAAAAAAAAACAGCUCAGCCUUUCACUGUGGAUUGCUACAGUGAAAGGCUGAGCAGUUUUAGUAUAUUUCUAAUAUACUUCAUGUAGCUUCAUUGUUUGAGUGAAUUGGGGUGGCAGCUCCCUAACAAUUUGGUUUUUUCCCUGCCAACAACACAUCUACACAUGACUUUUGCUUCACUUAUUUAGAGCCCGAUUGACUCAGCAUUUGCGGCGGUGUUUUUGUUGGACCGUGAUUUCAUUUUGUUUGGUUACAAAAGCAAUUUUCAUGCUUGAGCCCCACCAUUAAAUGCAUUCAAAACGCAGUUUUGUUGAAGCAUAAAUUGCAUGCUUUUCACAAUGCAGCGUUUUCUGUUUAUUGCAACUGUAUUUAUAAACACAGUAAACAGAGAAGAAAGAAGAGAAGGCGGCGACUAGAACAGAAACAGAGCACAACAGAACUCUUCCUCUCCCUUAGCUCACCGCACCAGCCAUUGCUCUCUUCCCCUUCGUUUUCUCCUUCGUCUUUUACAUUCUCCACUGUUCACGUUGCAUGAGAAUAGUGGAGAGCAGCUUACCACUGGCCUCCGCUGUUUCUACCACCAGCCACUGCUCUUCCUCUUCCUCUUCUCCUUCAUCUUCUGCAUUCUCCAUUGUUCAAAGAAGAAGAACAGAAACAGAGCACAGUGGAGAGCAGCUCCCUCAGCUCACCACCGGCCUCCGCCGUUCCCACCGCCAACCAUUGUUCUUCUCUUCCCCUUCUCUUUCGUCUUCUGUAGUGGAGAGCCUAAAUGCCCGAUGUCUGGGUCCAACCCAGUAAAAUAAAAAAUCCAAAAAAAUUUCUCAGAUAUUGUGUUUUAUUUGAAAAACUAGUGUUUAAUAUUAUUCAAUGACACUACAUAAUUAUAUUAGAAGGAGAUCGCAUGAUGACGUAGCAUUGCAGAAUUUGAUCGCAAUUCCAAUUUUGUUCCUGAUGAUAUUUUACCUGAUGUUGUUGCAUGCUCAGGAAGCCAUGGAAACUGUAGUCCUUGUCGGAUGGAUUUCGUACGUGAUGGAAUUGUAAAUAGUUUAAUGGAACAAUAAAAAAUAAUUUAAAUAAAAUAUUGUUUAUUUCAUGAUGUAAUAACAGUAGUUAAAUCUACAAUAUUGAAAUUAAAAACCAUCAAUAUUAAUAUAUAUUUUUUUUAGUUAUUUUAUAACCUCAAUUUCAAAAGCAUUUUUAACCAAACACAUUAAACAACUUUUUGUUCAACCUCAAUUUCAACCACAGUUUUAACCAAACAUAUAUUUUAACAACUCAACCUCAACUAAAAAUACUUUUUAUAAACAAUUUUUUUCAAACCACAACCACAAAAACUACCACAAUACCAAACACACUCGGGUCUGUUUGGAAUUAUGGUAGCAGUUGCUGUUCAAAGUGUUUUUCACUUAGAAAUGCUUCAAAAUGAUGUUUUUUUUAUUUUUAAAAAAUUAUUUUUAAGAUCAACACAUUAAAACGAUCUGAAAACAUAAAAAAUUAAAUUUUAAUAAUUUUUUUUUAAAAUUUUUAAGGAACGCGGUUUGAAAUGUGUUUCCAAUCGCGCCGUUAAAUUAAUUGGGGGUGUUAGCUCUCUAGCACUAGAGCCGUCUUGAGCUAGGAAUUAUUUGGUCAAUAAUCCAAGUUUCCAUUUAAUAAAAAACUCUAAAAAUAAAAUGUAUUUAUCAAUAAUAUUUUAAAAGAUCUUAUUUUACCCCAAAUUUUCAUUCACAUUAAGCCGACUCCGCAUAGUAUAUGACUCGAUAAGUUGCAAAUGGUUCGUUUUAGCAAAUUUUGUUUUCCACCUUUUCUCUCUAGAAGGAAGUACGUUGUCAUAGGAAAUUGAGUGUGUUGUUUCAGUGGGACUUCCUCUUUAUUUUUUCUCUGUUUUCGCCUUUUCUUUAUUGUGAUUGUACUUUUGGGUUUUGCUCACUUUUGCAAUUAAUGAUAAUAUUAUAUACGUCUCGCAGUUGAUUAAUAUUAUUUUUUUUAAAAGUUGAAAAAAAUGUUAAGAGUAUAAAUUAUUUUAACUUUUUUUGAAUUUGACAGUUAUGCCAGAUUUAAGUGAUUUGGAUCUGACAGUUAUGCCUAAUUAAUUUUUUUUAAUUUUUUUUUAUUUUUAUAAAAAACAUUGCACUAUCUUUUAAGUAUCCUAAACAAAAAUACCAAUUAUUUUUUUAAAUAUUUAAACUAAAUCCUAAACAAAAAUUCUAAUUAAUAUUUUUUAUAAUCUUUUUAUUUAUUAUAAAAAAACAUUUAAACUAUCAUUGAAGUAUCCUAAACCGAAAUGCUAAUUAAUGUAUUUUUAUAUUUUUUAUAUAAAAUUUUUUUAAAUUAUCCUUAAAAUAUUCUAAACAAAAAUUCUAAUUAAAUUAGUUUUUAAUUUUUUAUAAAAAAUAUUUAAACUACCAUUACAAUAUCCUAAACAGAAAUGCUAAUUAAUUGUUUUUAUAAAUAUAUUUUAUUUUUUUCUAAAAAAACAUUAAAACUAUCCUUGAAGGAUCAUAAAUAUUUUUUAUAUAAUUGUUUUUAUUUUUUAUAAAAAAUAUUUAAACUACCCUUGAAGUAUCCUAAACAGAAAUGCUAAUUAAUUGUUUUAUAAUAUUUUUUUAUAAAAAAAUAUUUAAACUACCAUUGAAGUAUCAUAAAUAAUUUUUUUAUAAAUAUUUUCUAUUUUUUAUAAAGAACAUUUAAACCACCAUUGAAAUAUUCUAAACAGAAAUGCUAAUUAUUUUUUUUAUUUUUUUAUUUUUUAUAAUAAAAAAUUUAAACUACCCUUGAAAUAUCACAAAUCAUUUUUUUGAUAAAUGUUGUCUAUUUUUAUAAAAAAAUAUUUAAACCACCAUUGAAGUAUUCUAAAAAGAAAUGCUAAUUAAUUUUUUUUAUUUUUUUUUAUUUUUCUAAAAAAACAUUAAAACUAUCCUUGAAGCAUCAUAAAUAAUUUUUUUAUAAUGUUUUGUAAAAACAUUUAAACUACCCUUGAAGUAUCCUAAAUAAUAUUUUUUUUAUAAAAGUUUUCUAUAUUUUAUAUAAAAAACAUUUAUAUCAUUGAAGUAUCUUAAACAAAAAUCAUAUUUUUUUUAUAAAUUUUUUUUAUAAAAAAAUAUUUAAACUAUCCUUGAAAUAUUCUAAAUAAAAAUUUUAAUUAUUAUUAUUUUUAUUUUUUUAUAGGCUAUUAGGUCUGGCGGCUAAGCCAGACCUAAGCUCCUUGGGUCUAGCGUUUUUUCCAGACUCAAGGUGCUUUGGUGUAGCAAUCUUUACCUAACCCAAAUAAACAACAAACAAAAAAAGAAUAAUUGUGCACUUUAGUUGGUAGGAAAAUGAAAAGAAAGAAAACAAGCAAAUAAUUAAAGAUAUCUGAUGAAAAAAUAACAUGAAAAAUUUAAAGUGAAACUAUUAUUACAAAUCACAAUAAAAUAUCUUUUAAUCUAUAAUAAUUUUGUUACAUCAUAUAGCUUUUAUUAUAAUUAUUUACUGGCUUUUCAAAAGAAAUAAACAAGUAGACGAAGGUCGCAAGGAACUUCCUUCUCUUUUAAAAUGCUAAAGUAAAUAUGGCGUGCACAUAAAAUAAAUCCAUGAAGCAUGAAAGUUGCGCUUGAUUCCUUCAUUGAAUAAAAAACACACGGAAACCUACCACUUAAAGCAAUAAUGCCUUUGGCUAAAGAAGAAAAAAUUAACAUGAAAGUGACUAAUAUAGACCUUAUAAAAAUAAUGAAGGGUUAGGUCUUAAUUAAUUUACUUGCUUGAAGUUUAUAGGUUGUCUUAAUUUACCCCCCCAAAGUUUAAUUUAAUGAUCCCAAUAAUCCCUUUGAGGGCAAGAAGAAAAAUCAAGCCCUUCUGCCAAUCCUUGCUGAGAAGUGUUGACUAUUUUUUUCAAUGUCCAAAGUGUUUGCUGACCUUGAAGACACUUCAGAAGCAUAUUGCUUCCUAAAGUGCUUGCUGACCAGGAGCUAAUGGCGAAGGCAGCAUCGAUGAGCAUAGAAUGCUUUGAGGGUACCAUUGCUUAAAUCAGUAGUUGGAGGGUAUAAUUGAAAGACAUAUCAUAAUCGGAGGACCUAUUCUCGAUGUUAUGCCAAAUAAAUAUUUCAGUACACUAAUUCAGACAUUUUCUCGGAAGUUGAUCAUCGUUUUAUUUAUUACAUGGAGGCCGGGCGGUUUCGUAUGAUAGAUAUAUGGAUUAAUUAGUUGGGUCAAAUUAAUGAACCGCAUACCUUCACUAUUAAAUAAAAACUAUGGAAUACUUAAAAAAGAAGGAAUUUUAGCAAUGCCUCACUAUAUUAAAGCUAGUGAUAGUUACUAAUUGAUUUCCAUUUAUACACUUUUGUUUUUUAUUCAAAUAUAAAAUAUAUAUUUGAACCGGUUUGUACAUCAAGUUGAGUUUGAGUUCUCAUUUCGAAAAUCUUAUAAACAUUCUUUAAAUAAUCUAAGUGCCUAUUUGUUUUUAUAUUUUAAAAGUAUUUAAAAAAAUAAUAUAUUUUUUUUUUACUUCAAAUUAUUUUUUUUGUAUUUUCUUAUCGUUUUGAUGUGCUGAUAUCAAAAAUAACUUUUUAAAAAUAAAAGAUAUUAUUUUGAUACAUUUUCAAGUGAAAAAUACUUUGAAAAACAACCGGUACCACACUCCCAAACAUCCCCUAAAUAUACAAAACAUUUUCCUAGGCCACCAAAAGCAGUCUUUUAAGAUUAUUUAUAUUUUAUACAUGUAUCUUUGUAAAUAGGCUGGAAGGAGGCAGUUGGACAUAUCCAAAUUCUUUUACCAAUGUCGGUAUCCAUUUUAUUUUUGGGAAAAAAAAACUAUAGGUCAUAAUAAGAGCAGCAUAAUCAACAAGGAGUCAAUCUGAAAACGCAUGGAUCAGCGAAAGAUCACAUGAGAAGCCUGUAAAUCAUUCCUCUAUUAAUUCAAAGCCAGGCAGAUUCUGCCGGGGCAAUGAGCAAUUUCAGAAAACUUGCAAAGAAUUACAUGCAUGAAUGCAUGAAUCUCACAGCUCGCAUGAAAAAUCAUUCAGGCUAUAUACAAGGAAUGUUUAUAUAUUUCAACACGGUUAAGAUCCCACUGCAUACUUUUUGGCGUCAAAUAAGUACUAAGAGUCACAGACUAUAAUAUUAGGGCAGAAAAAAAUAAACGUGAUGCAUACACAUAAUUUUUUUUCUUCCACUUGAAGGUUUUUUUUUUCGUUGACAGAGAAAAAUUUACCUCAGGGUUCUCUGCAACAACAAUAAUAUGUGCAAGUAUGAUUUUCAACAAAGAAUUAGAGAUUACAGCUAGCUGAGUCCGAUUUCUGGCUUCACCAUGUAAAGAAUCUAAAAAAAAUAAAAAUCUAUCACGAAUAAACACAAUUGCUCGAUUCUUAGAAAUUCAGUCCAAAAUAUAAGUUUAUUUUCUGAGUUAUUAUUAUUCAAGAUUUGAAUAGUAAAAAAAAUAUAAAAAAAAUCUCUUAAGUGUUUUUUGUAACCUUGAAGUGGAAGCAUGAGAUUGCUGCUGCGAUUUAUUCUACUAUCUCAACUUAGGACACUAAGUCUUUCAAUGACCUUUCUGCUUAUAGAAAUUGCACUUGUCGAAGACAACUCUUGUGUAAUGUUUAUUUGGAUUUAUUAGAGAGUGAUUUAGAAGGUACUGCUAGUAUAAAAGGAUUAGAAGUAGAAAAAUUUCCUUUUAAGAAUAAAACUGAAGACAUAUCUUUUUAGCCAAUAACUCAUUGGCAACUAAAUUAAUAAAAAAAAGUGGAGAACGAUGUGACACUAAACCUCUAAAUCUUUUAAAAUCACUAUGAAGUGUCGUUAAAAACUAUAUCAAGUACCAACUGUUGCUGCUCUCUCUACGAGCAAUACAAGCACCACAUGCCUUUAAUUCCGCCGAUUCUAUAAGAGCUAAUUAAUUCCAAAGAUCUAUAAUAACAAAAUAAAACUUCUGAAUACUUAUAUUUUUCUGGUGAAGAGCUCGUAUAUCAUUCUCCAAUUGAUACUGCUUUGUAUUAUUUGAUUGAGUGAAUAACCUUGUAGAUGAUCUUAAACCUUAUUUGUUAUCUCAUAUUUCGCCAAUUGUUUACUCAUAGAAUGCUCAAUAGAAUUAUUAAUUCAAGAAAUAUGUUUUGCAUUGUUUGCUUCCUAAACAUCUAUUAAGACAACAUAAUCCUCAUCAGUAUUUCUAGGUUUCACAAAGGUUCCACUAACAUAUCCCCAUAUUUUUUUACCCUUAAAAAAAUUCCUUAUCGUAUAACUUAAAUACAAAUAAUUAUUUACAUCCAACCUCACACUCACAUACUGAAGCAAAUCGUCUCUUUUAGUAGCCAUAAUCAACAAAUAAAGAAAACCAGAACGCAAAAGAAAAGAAAAUAGAAUACCAGAUUGUAGAAACUGAAUGAAUACUCUUUUGAAAUUGUUCAGUUACUCCACACAAAAACUUCACUCUGAUACCAUGUUAAACAAUCCAAGUAAAUAAAGAGAAAUACAAAAAUAAGAAAGGAGGACACUAUGGUUUCAUUGAUACUGCAUAAUGCAAUUAAAAUAAUUAAAAGGAAUAUGUUUAACAUAAAUACAAAGAGAUUAUAUAUAGGCUAUACAAAGAAAACUAAAAAGAAAAUGUAAAGACUAUUAUACCCUUAAUAAACAAUAAAACAAAAUAACUCUAUAUUUCUUAAUAGUCUCUACUGCCAUUUAUGUGCGGAAAAUUUUAUGUCACUCGGGAAGUAACUAGUAACAUCAUAUUAGUUAUUUUCUAAACCCACCUUAAAGAAAAAGACAGAUACAAAAAGAAAAGAAAAAAUAAAACUCAUAAUACAUCAAAAGUGAUAAGAAUAUCUCCACUUGAUUUCUCUCUUCUAGCUAUAUUUAUUUUUUCUCUAAAGUAAGCUUUGAAAAUAACUAAUAGGAUACUAGUAGUUAUUCCUUGAACAUCAUAAAUUAUUUUGUACACUUUUUUUUUAUUUAAUGAAAACAUAAUUCGCAUCUAAUUUAUUGAGUUACGUAUUGCCUCUUUUUUUUAUGAUAUAUAAAUUGAUAUGCAUACGAGAAUGGAAGUUCAAUAAUUAAUUUUAAAUAAGAGUGUAGUUAAUUAGUUCGUUCUGAUUGUCAAUUGAAAGGGAUUUUAUGUACUUAAUUAAUAGACUGAAAAGGAGAAAUUAGGUUACUAUAUAUUAUAAAAAAAAGCGAUGGUUUUAUUUUUAUAGAUGAAUUAACAAUGAGAGUUUGCACAUUAGUUUUUUUAGUCAUGUUUAGUUAAUGUAUCAGGGAUGAUAAGAAAAAUAAAAAAAAGAAAUAUGCUUGGUUAAAAAAACAAUAAAAAAAUAUAUAUUUUAAAAAAUUAAUUAAGUGGCCCAUCAUUGAGACAUUUUCUUCUUUCUUUGUUUUCUAUUUUUUUAUUUCUUACAAAAACAAGCCAUUAAUUUACCGCCAACAAUUACAAAAAAUAAAACAAUUAGAGAAGACUUGGAAGAAAUCGACGCAUUUUUUUUGAUGCGUCAAGUUUGAAAUGGAACGAAAGCAUCUCUUACAAAAUCAAGAAUAUUGAAUAAAACCUUGAAAGAUUCCAUGCAUGAAAGCAAAUGUUACAUUAAUUAACGAUACAAAGUCGUCUCUCUUUGUCUUGAUCAAGAAUUUCCAGCAAGAGAAUUAUUUUUUAUUGAACUAAAAUAUUUGGAAAACCUAACACUUUAUACUAUAUUUUAUUUUGAUGUGCAAAUGGGAGGAGAGCACAUUUAGUCACAAGCAAUAUGGAGUUUCCAUUAAUGUUGAGCUACGAUAAUGACAUGUAUGUAUUGUAUAUAGCCAUUGUUAGGCAUCUUAAUUGGAGAAUAAAUCAACCCAUUAUUGCCACAAGAAUUACGUAUAUAAAUAUAUAAUAUUUCAAAGUUUUUUUUUAUAUAAAAACACAAUAUUAUAAUAUUCCUUUGUUUUUUGAUGAAUUAAUUUUAUAAUACUCAUUUCUUUUCCUCCCCACUUUUACAAGUAGACAUUAUGCCAAAAUUUGUAUUAUAAUCAGUUGUUAACACGCAACAAUGAUAGUGAUUGAAUAUUUAUUUCAACUGUUGGAUUAAGACAAGGAAAUAAAACUCUUCGAAGAUAUAUAUUAACGUUUGCUUAGGGUUCAUUUUCGAAAGAUCCUUAUGAAUUUCAAUAUUUUUUUUUAAAGAUCUUCUUCCUUAUAAUGCCAUAGAUCCCAAUUGUUAGAUUAUACUAUGAUAAUUUUGUUUUUUAAAUAGCAUUUACAACAAAGAGUUUAUUAAAAGGGUAUAAUAAGUUGAUUCGAUGACCUAUUUGAAUUGUUUAAUAAAUUUACAUAAUUUGAUGAUUUAUGACUUGAUUAACAGAUCAAUUUAAAUUUAAAAUAAAAAAAAUUCUUAAGAAAUUAAAAUCAUAUUACUUUAAACAAAAAUAAUAACUUAAAUUAAUCCAAUGAUCUGACCCUACAACUUAAUGAUCGGAGCCCUUAAACGACGGGGAAGUGUAAGGUGAUUUUGAUUUAUUUUCGUCCUCCCUUCCACUCAAUAAAAAUAAUAUAAUGAAGAAGAAGAAGAAGUAGUCAGUUGUGACGUCCUGUUUAAAUCGAUGCCAAUUCCAAAAGAAAAGGGUCCCACAGCUCUAUCAAAGUUCCCUUCCCUCUCUUUCUUGCCAUUGUUUAUUUAUAGGAGGGGUAGCAAGGAGCUAACCUGUCCUUUUUUCUCUUAAUCAUAACCACUAACAGAAAUAGAUCGAUCCCUUGAAAGAUUUGUCAGCUUCCUUAUUUUGCACCAUCCAAUCCAACUCUUCUUUCUUCCCCCCCCCCCUUCUCUAGCUAAGCUUAGUUGGUUUCUUGUUUUUGAACCAUCCAAUCAAGUUUUCUCGAGUAAAUUGGUGUCUUGAGUUUUGAAAGAAAGAAAAUGGCUGCUGCUGUGGUAUCUCAAGAAAAUGUUGUAGCUUCUUUGGUGUCUCGUACAGGGAGGCAUUUGCAGCGGUAUAACAAAGGUCGUCGUCAAGUUGUAGGGUGGGUUGCUCUUUCCUUACCACCCUUCUUCUCUACUGAAUUCUUUAUUUUGCCUUGUGGGGCUUGACUGUUUUUCACAAUUUUUUCUUGGGGUAACUCUUCUUAGGCCUGCAGAUUUGCUUGACGGGCUUAAAAAACAAUCAUUAUUUGUUUAAGGUUUUGUUAAAUUUAGUCAUGUCUUUUAAUGAAACAGGAUUGGUCCUAAAUGCUGUCUUGUAAGUAAUACUAGAAAAGCAUAAUCUAGCAGGUUUUCUUUGGGAGCAGAACUUGAUUCUGGUAUGCCUAGAGGUUGUUGGUGUAGUACAAAAACUUUGAUGAGUGUGAUAAAUGGUUGGUCGCAGGCACUUGAAGCCACUUGUUAGUCCCAUCAUGGUGGGCUUAUCCAUGAUGGGUGGACACGAUUGGCUCCCGUACAUAGAUUAUUAUCCAAAACUUUUCCCAAAUCUUCUUGUGGAGAAGGGGCAAUGCAAUUUCUGUUCUGCUUUCUGAUUAGCCAGUAGUUUUGGUGUCCAACUUUGCUGGAAUUCAACACAUAGAUUCUAAGUACUUCAGUUUUUUUGUUACAAGGUUUUACUGACUCGAUACUCAGUUUCUUGGUUACUAAAUUUUCUGUCUUCUUGUUUCAAAAUAUUGCAGAUGUAUACCAUACAGAUACACGAAAGGAAAGGGUGAAGAUGGGUUUCAAGUUCUUGUCAUUAGUUCACAGAAAGGAAAGGGGAUGUUGUUUCCUAAGGUACCUAUUCAAUUGUCACUAAUGAAAUUAACACUUGAUAACUCAAUGUAGAGUUCAGAAUUUAGACCAUUAUUGCUCUAUCACAAAACCUAAACCAGUAUGGCUCAUUGAUUACCAGGGAGGUUGGGAAUCGGAUGAAACCAUAAAACAAGGAGCGGUGCGAGAGACAUACGAGGAAGCCGGGGUGAAAGGCGUUCUUGAGGUAGUUUUCUAGUUUUCGUUAAUGGCGUGACUGAAGUUCAUUUUAAGUUUAUUUCUCCCACAUUUGAUUAAACGUUUUACAUUUUCUCUGCAGCCCCAAUUAGGUGAAUGGACCUUCCAGAGCAGAACUCAUGGCACUGAUUAUGAAGGAUACAUGUUCCCUUUACGAGUUAAGGAGGAAUUAGAUUUCUGGCCAGAGAAAACCAAUCGCCUGAGAAAAUGGGUAUGCGCACGCUACAUUCCAUGUCUUAACAUUUUUAUCUAUAUUUUGACUUGGUAUCUGAACCAUCGGUGCGAUUGCUGAGAAGUGUCCAUGUAUGUUAUAUACAGAUGAGUGUGACAGAAGCAAGAGAAUGCUGCCAGCAUUGGUGGAUGAAGGAAGCCUUAGAUGUACUAGUUGACCGUCUCGCAGGUCAGCAACAACUCGAUGAGGAUGAAGUAGGAUCUUGUUCUUUAAGCUUCCAGGCAAAAUCUAACUUGUAAAUAAGAGUAAUUGUUGAGGAAUACAGUGAGGGCCAUAGCAGGAAUUGAAACAAGCAAGGAAAGAGUGACGAGAAGCAAGAAUUAGGCAGUUUUGUGUUUAUUUUGGUGUCCCUUUCUUGAAGUUUCGAUUCUGAUCAAUUUCUUGUUAGGUAAAUGUUAGUGGGAACAUCAGAAAAGUUCAUCAAGAAGACACAACAUGGUUUCUAAUUGAGGAGGAAUCAAUGAAAAUUAUGUUUUGGAAAGAAAAAAAAGAGAAGUUGAAAAUUGUCACCAAGUUAGAUGCAUAGUUAUAAGAACCAACUCAGAGUUGAUCAGGCCCAAGAUCCCGAGUUCAUCCACAUAUUUUAACCGUAAUGCGUAAUAGCCGUAGAAAAACUUGAAUUAUAACCUGUAAUAAAGAUAAGAUAUUCAUCCUUAUUCUAGGUUUAUUUAUCACUUGGAAAUUUCCAGAACCCUUGACUGAGAAGUUCCUUUAUUCCUUUUAUUAUCCAAGAGUUUAUUUGAAAACGCUGUUGGCUUGGCUAGGCGUUUCUAGAAUUUUUAAUUUUUAUAUUUUAAAAUAUUUUUUUAUAAAUUUUAAAAUUAUUUUAAUAUAAUGAUAUAGAAAAUACAUUUUUAAAAGUGAAAAAAAUAUUUGUUAGAUAUAUUUUCAAGUAAAAAUAUUUGAAAGUAAUUGUUACAAUAAUAAUAAAAAAAACUUUAAUUAUAUUUAAUGUGGAAUCCAUAGAAGAAAUUUGUGGGAGCAAUAAAUAUAGUAUAAUUAAUGUUUAAUUUUGACUUAGCCUUUCAAUUAAGUUAAACAUGACCACCAAUGUUGGACGUAGCUAACAUCAAACCAACCAAGGGAACAAUAAUCCAAUGGUAAAUUAUCACUUGUCAGACCACCUCAGUGUUUAAUAUUUAUACGAAAAGACUUAUUUAAGAAAUGAAGGAUAAGUAGGACGUCCAUUCUAAUAAAAUCAAUUGACAAUCAUAUCAUAAUAGGAAAAUUAUUAAAGUUGAGGGACUUUCGAGUUGCGUGAUUAGAGCGAAUCUUGAGCUGUCUGGUAUUAUUCGUGUUAUAAAAUAAUAUAAAUUAUAUCUUAUUAAUUUAUUUAAAAAUUAAAUUAAUUUACUAACUAAAUAAUCAUGAACUUAAAUUUUAUUAUAUACUAAGCUUUUUCAAAGCCCUUAAUUUGCCAAGAACAGCUUAUUUAUGGAAUGAUGAAAGAGAUUUUGUUAUAAAUUUGUGUGUGCAUCUGGAUUUUACUUCUGUUCCUCGAAAUGUUUGCUUUGCGUGGAUGGUUUUAGUUUUUUUUGGUAUUUCUGCAAAUGUUGGAUGCUAAUAGUAAUUGUUUAUAAUUCUAGAAAAUGAUAUAUCCAGUAAAUGCUUAUAUAAUGGGAAAGUGAUUAAUAUAUUCAUAUAUAUAAAAUCUAUCAUUCUAAUGACUCUGAUUUUUUAGUUAAAAUCAUCAUAAAAUAUCCAUAAUUUUAUUUCGAAAAUGCUCCUAAGAUGAUCAAUGGGCAUGUGCAAAACCUAUCACCACCCUCUCUGUGGCCAAGGAACCCAUUUUUUCCUUUCUUUUCUGCUUUACUUCUUCUCCCCCUUCAUUCGUUCUUCCUCCCCUUCCCUUUCCCUAAAUAAAUCUGGCCAAAUUCACCCUUAAAACAACAGAUUUCACCGCUUUUUUCUACCAAUAUCGAAGCCUCCAUUUUUCCAACCAAAACCUCCAUAAAAUCAAGCCCUAACCCACCAAUCUAGACCUUAAAACCAACCAAGGAGGGGGACGGGUGAUAAUGAUCAGUUGGUGACUUCCAGGUUCAAUAUUAGUUGAAUGAAUCGAAUUUCAAAUAACCUUUUUUUUUUAUUAGAAGCAUUUUUUAAAAAGACAUUUCUUUUUUUUAUGAUUGUGUAAGCAAGUUUCAAAUAAUCAUGAAUUAAUCAUUUUUACUCCCAUGUAUUAAUAAAUAUACAAAUAAUAAAUCUAAAAACAAUUACAAAAAGCAUUUACAAUAAAGAAUAACAAAAUAGAUAUGAUCUAUUUUAAAAUAUAUAAUUAAUCAUUUGUCCAUUAAUCAGGGUACUAGUUUCAUUUACUAGAUUAACUAGUUUUUUAUUUGCCUAGUAAUAUGCACCAGUUUCAUUUAUCAGGAUAACUAGUUUUUUUAUUGUCCAUUAAUCAAGAUACUAAUCUCAUUUACCAAGAUAACUAGUUUCUUCAACAAUUUAUCACUUAUCAACUAGGAUUGUUUUUCAUUUAAGGAAGAAUUAUAAACACAAUUAAAUAAAGUUUUGGUUGUAAGAUGUUGAGUAUUUACUAAAAGUCUGGGCAAAUAAACCAAUCCUUUAUUGCUGAGUGGAUUAUACAAUCUCUUAUGUACCAAUAAGAACAAUAUUAUCUAUUAUUCCAUUCUUAGCUACUUCAUAGUUUAACUCAAUAGAACAUCAUUUUAUUUGAUGACUUGAUAUAAUUCAAUACUAUUUCAUACUUUCAAGCUAAUUCUUAUUCAAAACAUAACUAAGACUAAAAUUCUAGUUUCAUAUACAGUUUGUUUCUUUUUAAAACUGACUUAUAGACUGCAACUCCAUAAAAUGAAGGAACUCAAUUAUUUUCAUUAACACAUCCAAGAUUAUUUUUAAUUGCAACAUCAUAAAUGUUUAGCAAAUUUUAGCCUAACCUUUCUUUGAUUUUUAACUUAUAUAUGAAGUAUCAUAACUUCAAUUUAAACGAGGUCAAUUUUGUUGGAAAGAUAUCAUCCUUACUUUGACUUUCAUGUAGAAAUUAUUCCAGUUUUUAAUCACUAUUAAGUCCUAAAUCUGAUCAGAACUGUCCAAUUUUUCAAUUCCUUUCUUUUAACAUAUGAUAAAGUAUUUUGUUUUUCAUAUUUCUCACCAUUCAAUACAAUUAUUUUUCCUACCCAAAUUUAAUAAUAUUCCUUCAUCAUAAUAUUGCAAGUUGUUUUUUAUGUGCAAAAUUUCAUAAUUCCCAUAACUUAAAUAUUCAUAAUUCAAGCUUAAUUAAGUCUUUCCAUUACCAUUAAAUAUAAAAUUUCAAUUUCUUUUCAACCAUUCAUCGUAUUUCAACACAAGCUAUAAUAAUCAUGACAAAACAAUAUUGAUGCAUUUCUUUAAAAAAUUUCUCAAUUUUCUCUCUUUAUGCCAGCACCAAAUCCUUUACAACACCAAGAUUUUUUUUUCAAUUACUUAUUAUUUAAAGUUGUUUUCAUCAUUUCUCAUUCCAAUUUCAUCAAAGAAGAAAAAUUCCUCAUUCCCCCUAAUUUUUCUCAUGAAUUCUAAAUCGAAUUGAAUAUAAAUUAUGAAAUCAAGCUUAAAAUCCUUCACCUAGUGAUAAAAUGAGUUACGAUUCUUAAUCAAUCAAAAUUUAUAAGUACUUUCUUUUUUUUUCUUCGUGACCGGUUCUUAACCCCUUUUAUUUUUUAAAUUUCUUAACUUAUUUUUAUUUUAUUCUUGCAUUAAUGUUGUUUCCCACUACCUAGACCAAUCUCACUCAAAUACCCUUCAGUUUGGAUGCAUUUUCUCUCAAUUUUCAGUGAAAAGAUUUGAAACCUUCCCCCUCUUUUCUUCUCUAUGCAGCCGUCUCUAAAAGAGAAAGAUUUGGGGUUCUUAUAGUAUUAACUCUAGGCAAUUACACAUUAGCCCCAUUAGUUUAGUUAUUUUAUUUUUGUCCUAUCUUUUUUUUUUCUAGCAACUUGUGGUGGUAAAUAUAUUCUUUUGUUUCUUUUAAUUACCAUGAAUGAAGUAGCAAGAAACUCUAUUAACGAGACUGAAGUUUAGUGCUGCUUUCGUGUAAAAGUAGGAGAGAAACAGGGUUUUAAGUCGGAGUGUCAUUUUUCUUUUUUGUCAAGUGAUAGUUAAUAAAACAAAGAAUUGAUGAUAAAAAAAGAAAAAGAAAAAAAAUAUGAAGCAUAAAUUUGGAGUGGCAAUUUGUACUCCGACUUGAGCUUGUGUUGUGUAUUUUCAGUUUGCUCCAUUUACUGCUAGUGUUUGGGCCCUUAGCUAGGCUGAGGAUUUCAUACUCUUGUGCUAUGGACCUCGGAGGCAUCUCUGCCUAGGGUUUGGUGUGAUGUCGUAAUCUUGGGCUAGGUCAUUUAAUUGAACGAAAUAAAGAUAAUGAAUUUUGAUAUUUUAUUUCAGAACCCAAUUUGUAUUUUGUAACAUUUUUUUCCACCAAUGAUCUUCGACCAAUUUUCGAAAACUGAACCUUAUUAUCUCUUGGAUCGGAUAUUAAACAAGCCAUUUUUUUAUACAAAUUAGUAUUCAUGAAGAGAAAUUGAGAUCCUAUGUGGUACCUAUAAGGGUUAAUUAACAAUACGAGUGAAACAAAUCUUUCAUAGACAAAUUCUUGGGAUUUAUAUAGAGUUGGAGAUUUGUCCUUAAUUUAUUGUUUUAAGGGUUAAUUUAACUUUCUAAAAUGGUAGAUUUUAGAGCCAAUGUGCAUAUUGGUUGCGCUUUGACCCAUAUAAUACCAUCUAUAAUUAUUAUAAAUUAACACCAAAUAAUCCCACCGGUAUAAUUACUCCACAACCAUAAACCGAUCAUAGAAUUUCAAGAGCUGGAUCAGUACAAGCUUCUUCAAGCUGGGAGAAGAGAGAGGAGCAAGAAGAUGUGGUCUGCCCAUGAGAACUUGUUGGGAAUAAUUACAGUACAAGUAUACUCUAGCUUUUAACAUAGUAAAAUAAUUUGAGAGAAAAAGUUUCCUCUGAGAAUGAAAAGACAAAUAAUAAUAAUAAAAAAAUCUCUUUGUUAUCACUUUGUUAUCUUAUACCUAGUUCGAAUAGUUGGAUGGAAAAUUCUUAAUUAACUGCAUCUUAAUUCUUUGCUUUGCUUCAAUGAACUUGUUAUCUUAAUUCUUUACUGAUUGAUUAUCUUAAUGAACUUGUUAUCUUAAUUCUUUGCUUCAAUGAUUGAUUACUUUACUGAUUUCAGGACUUAGACUCUAUUCAUUUUUUUUUGGGCAUUAAAGUUAAGUCUACUUUUAUGGGUUUGUUACUCAGUCAAUAUAAGUAUGCAGUUGAUAUUACCCAACGAGCAAUUAAUAUUUAUUGCAAAUCGGUUGAUACCCUUUUAUGUACCUUGUCUAUGUUAGGCAUCGUGUCUGGUACUCUUUACUCUAAUCCAACAUGAUAUAGAUAGAUUAUUGAGGCUCUACAAUACCUUACUUUUACUAGACCUUAUAUUUGCUAUGCAGUUAACAUGGUAUGUGAGUUUACGCAUCCUAUGUUACCUUCAAGCUAUAGCUUCUUAUGGUCUACUCAUUACUCAGGAUUCCUUCUUGUCUCUUCAUGGUAUCACUAUCACUAAUCGGGAUGACAGUAUUGAUGAUCGUAAAUUGACAAACGGCUAUCUUGUGUAUAUAUCUUGGUUCUACUCCUAUUUCAUGGAAAUUAGGGAAGCAAUGCACUAUGGCUAGGUCUUCUACGGAAGCAGAAUACAAGGUCUUAGCCGAUGGUACUGUUGAAAUUUUAUGGAUUCGCUCUUUAUUGUCAGAACUUCAGCUCUCAUCCUCUUCCAUGACUACGUUGUGGUGUUAGGGGCCACUUUUUUAUUUGUCAAUCUAGUGUUUCAUGCUCACAGUAAACAUGUUGAAAUGGACUAUCACUUUGUUUGUGAUCGCGUUGCUAAGCAAGAAAUUCAGGUACGAUUUAUCUUCUCGAAGGACCAACUAGCUGAUGUCCUUAUCAAACCUCUCCCUUCAGUCUUGUAUGUUAAUUUUUGAUCCAAACUUUAGGUGGAGUUUUCACUUUCAACUUGACGGGGUGUACUAUAGAAAGAGCCUAAACUCCUUAUAUAUAUAAAUACCUUAUAUAUGAAUACCGAUCAUGUAUAGUAUAUUCCAUUGUUGUAUUUUACGCAAACCUAGAGGUAUAAAUAUAAAGGGUGGUUGCUUUCAUUAGCCAAUUAUUACAAUUCACAUAUAAUUAAUCUCUCAACUCAACACUCAUUCAAUUUAACAAGUUUUCUUUUUUAAUUUUUAGAAUUAUGAUAGGAGACCUAGAGACAUUACUUGGGAUACCUUUUUCUUUUUUUUCUUUUGAAAAAAUGAUGAAAGAUCCCUAAUCAUGUAAUCAUACCCACGUACAUUAUGUAGGAUCUAUCAUUAGGCGUGGGUUAACAAUGAGUUACUAGGCUUGUACAAUAAUUUGUGCGUACAUUUUUUCCACAGAAUUUAUUAAUUUUUGUGUUUUAAAAAUUAUUUAAAAAAAUUAUUUUUUUAAUUUUUAAUUUUUUAUAUAUUUUUUCAUAUAUUUUCUAAAAAUAAAAUAAAAUAAAUAAUUUUAAUAUAUUUUUAAAUAAAAAACAUUUUAAAAAAUAAUUAUUGGUGCAAUACUAAAUAAAGAAGUUUUUGUUCCAUGUUCCAAAUUCUGCAUACAGUACCCCCGGUACUUUAAUUUUAGGUCUUCAAAAUUUCUUUCUAGCUAAAUGCUGAUUAUAAAUUAAUUCGUUAUGAUUAUUAAUUAGCGGACAAUCAUCUACCAUUAACACGUUUGCGUGAAAGUUUGGUUAUUUUCGAAAUGCAAUGUCUACAUUCUUUAUAAUUUACAUAGUAACUCAUAGUCGUCAUUCCAGGUUAGGAAAGCUAUUAAUUGAGUCUAUAAUAUUUAUUUUAAUUCAAUUGCUAUUGAUUUAAUAUGUUUUUUUUUAAUAUUUAGAGAUAACUCAUUAUAAAACGAUAUAAUUUUAAGUAAAAAUCAAAAAUAUAAUUUUCUUAAAAUUGAACCUAUUAAAUCAUACAUAAAUUUAAUCAAAUCAAUCAGUACUGAUUGACUAGCUUAAUCAUAAAAAAUAAUCAAAUUAAUGUUUAAACUAAUUUAAAAUAAAACUUGGUUUAGACUAAAUUCCAGGCUGGGAUUUAAUAAGUAUGACUGCAUGUAUAAUAUAUUUUUAGGAUUUAAUAUAAAAAUAUAACGUAAAAAACAAGACAAAAUAAAAAUAUUUUUUCUUUUAGUUGAUAGUUAGCAAAGUAAACCAUAACUGUUUGGUUUUUUUUUUAUCAUCUUUUUUAGUUUAACGUGGGUGUUCGGGCCAGUUUGCGCGUACUUCGACUAAUCCCACGGGCCCUGAAGUUAAUGACCAUGUAAGCCUCCAGUGGUCAUCAUAUGAGCAAUCAUAGGGUUCGAACCUGAGACCACAGAAGGAGCAAAUCUCUUGAUCCCAAACUCUUACUACUGAGCCAUCAUAUUUCUUUAUCAUCUUAAUCGAGUCUUUCGAGGCACGCCCUCAUUAUACUAAACCACUUGGUAUUUAUGAAGAAGAUUUUUUGCAGGAAAUGCGUCAUCCAAUUAUUUCUAGAACGAUUUAUUAUAUAUUAUGUGCAAGACUUUAGAGAUUGAAGGAUAACUCUCAAUUGGGAUUCUAUUAAUAUAGAAGGAAAAAUAUAGGCAAACAUUUUUACUUACACUUCUUUAUUUCGUGAUGAUAUUUAUUUACAGAGCCUACGUAAGUAAUAAAUCAAGACAGUAAAUUUUGUUUUGUGGAUUGCGUAGUGCGAUGGGUACAGUUGUUUGGGUGUCUUCACUUGUAAAAGCUAUAUAUGUGCAUUUGUACCAUAUAUAUAUAUAUAUAUAUAUAUAAUCUCGUAUAAUUAAUUUAAAUUUCGAAAAUAAAAACAAAAUUGUAUUUUAUCUCCACAUUUUUAAAUCAAAUAAGUUAGAUUUCUAUCUCAUUCAUUAUCUUAUAUAUCAAGCCAAACACUACUAAAGUGCUGUAAUGAAGUCCUCUAUAUCAAUCCAAAUUAUACACAGAGGCAAAGAUGUGACUUAUUGCUCGUUGACCUAAUUACAAAAGCAAAUUUAGCAACUAGUUAGCCGUUCUGCUGAGCAGGGUUUUUCACAGUUAUUAAACCCGGACUGGACCGGUGGGUCGACCCGGUGGCUGGACCAGUCCAGGCAAGGUUAAAAACCAGCUAUCGCAAAAAAACGAUCGAACCCGGGUGAGACCCGGCGUCUAUAUACAUUAACUUUCCUUUGAGUCGUUGGCAGCAAAACGAUGCCCUAAUUUCCUAAGAAGAGCAGCCCGCCCCCAAUUCCCUUCUCUGUUAUCUUUUGCAGAACAAAUAUUUGGUUGAGAUUUCAUCGGAGAAAUUAGUGUUUAUUUCUACAGGUGCUCUAUUUUCCUUGCGCUGCUUACUUUUUUAUGUUUUUUUCUUUGUUGAGAUUUCUUAUUGCAAACAAUUGCUGCAGAUUUUGAAUGAUUCCCUCUUUUUUCCAUGCCUUUUAAGCUCUUUUUCGGAUUGGAACAAAUAAUUGAAAAAAGUACUCAUUUGACAACCAUCCUUUAGUCACCCAUGAAGAGAAACAUCUGAUAUGAUUUGCAAACAUGAACUUUGUUGUUGUCGGUUUCAUUCUUCAUUUACAUAACUGGUUUUUAAUGAGACUACAAGUUGUUCAACUUUUUCAGUUACUCUGAUAGCUACCACAGCUCCGGGCAUACUGCAUAAUCCAUCGGCUAACAGCAUCAAACACAGUUCGAGCACAUCCUGUUGCUCAUGACCAAGAACUUUGCCUCUCAUGUCAUAUUCACAUUGAGCACUGACUGUGAAGGCAUUUCCUCCAUGUUGCCUGUAUUAUUAGUUUUUGAUCUUCUUGUUGAUUGAUUAGCUUUGCAACAGUGAACAUAUGGGAAAUGAAUCGAGUGAGCUUUAGUUUUUUCUUCUUCUUAUGUUUUAUGAUAACCGUGAAAACCGGAAAAAAAAUAAUUAAAAAAACCGAAUUGUAAAAAAAGCCAAUUUUGAUUAGAAUUUUUAGAAAACUGACCGGUUCGGUUUCGGUUUGAUAAGUUUGAAACCGAAAAAACCGAACCAAACCGAACCGGUUCAGUUUAAAAAAAAAAUACUAUAAAAACCCUCUUUUUUUAACGCAUUCUCCAUCCUUCUGCAUCCAGCAGCUGCCCGCCCGCCCCCCUCCCCCAAAGCCCUCACAAGCCACAACUCUCAAAUCUCAAUCUCUCACACUCUCGGCUUGAAAAAAAUUGAAUUCUCCAUCACUUUAUAAAACUUCAUGCAGAUCUAGACUUCUAGUCGUCUAACAAAACUUCAACAAGGCUUCAAUAUUCAUCAUCAAAUCUAACAACCCAGGGACACCAGGUAUGAUUUCUUCAUCUUCAAUCUUCAUGUUCGUGCUGUUUUGUUGGAUAAGAAGCCUUAAGAAGUUCCAACAGUAAGAAUAUAUGCACCCACUGCUACUGGUUAUUUUCUCGGGAAUUAUUAGAAGCAAAUUUGCAUUUGCAUUAUAUUAAUGUUCAGUGAAAUCUUCAAUAUUCAAUAUAUUGUUUAGUUCUCCGGAUUUGGAUUGUAAAUUUUGUCUUUUGAUGGAAUUAUAGUCUGUCAAGUUAAUAUAAGGGAGAAAAGCAAAUCUUGAUAUAUGUGUGUUUGCUUUGUGGAUGCUAAAUUGUCCGUGUUCUUAUUCUUUGUGUUAUACUUGCCAGAUAUGGCCGAAGAAGCAGGCAUGUUUAUGGUUCAUCAAACAAUUGGAAGUGUUUUGUGUUGCAAAUGUGGUAUUCCUAUGCAACCAAAUGCUGCUAAUAUGUGUGUUAAGUGUUUGCGCUCUGAAGUUGACAUCACUGAAGGUCUAAAGAAGAAUGUAAUUCUUUUACAUUGCCCGGAGUGUGAUACCUACUUGGAUCCACCUAGUACGCGGAUUAGGGCCCAACUGGAAUCGAGGGAGUUGAUGGCAUUUUGUCUGAAGAAGUUGAAAUUGAAGUCCACAGGAGUUAUUUUGGUAAAUGCGGAAUUUAUUUGGACUGAACCACAUUCCAAGAGGAUCAAGCUCCGGGUGAGAGUUCAGAAGGAGGUCCUUCAUGGUGCAAUACUCGAACAAGCAUAUGUUAUUGAGUAUGUUCAGCAGGACCAAAUGUGUGAUUCUUGCACAAGAGUUCAGGCCAACCCUGAUCAGUGGGUUGCUGGUGUCCAGCUCCGGCAACAUGUUGCUCAUAGAAGAACUUUCUUUUACUUGGAGCAGCUGAUUUUGAAGCAUGAUGCUGCUGCCCGUGCCAUUAAAAUAAAGCAAAUGGAUCAUGGUAUUGAUUUUUUCUUUGCAAAUCGUAGCCAUGGUGUUAAAUUUGUUGACUUUGUGGGUAAAGUAGCUCCAGUAAAGAGUCGCAAUGACAAGCAACUUGUUUCCCAUGAUACUAAGAGCAACAACUAUAAUUACAAACAUACUUUCUCUGUUGAAAUCUCUCCAAUUUGCCGUGAGGAUUUAGUCUGCUUGCCUCCAAGGGUUGCUGUUAGCUUGGGGAAUCUAGGUCCUCUUGUGAUCUGCUCGAAAGUGACAAAUAGCAUUGCUUUGUUAGAUCCUUUCACCCUGAGACACUGCUUCUUGGAUGCUGACCAGUACUGGAGAACACCCUUUAAGUCUCUUCUCACUAGCAGGCAACUUGUAGAGUAUAUUGUAUUUGAUGUGGACUUUGUUUCCCCUGAAGUUAAUAUUGGUGGGUCUAGAUAUGCUCUCGCUGAUGCCACUGUUGCUCGCAUGUCAGAUUUUGGGAAGAAUGAUACCAUGUUCAACAUAAAAACGCACCUGGGGCAUAUUUUGAAACCUGGUGAUUAUGCUCUUGGUUAUGAUUUACAUGGAGCUAACAGUAAUGACAUGGAGCUUGACAAGUACAAAAAUCUAGUCAUUCCAGAAGCAAUUUUGGUAAAGAAAAGCUAUGAAGAGAAGCGCCAGAGGAAACGAGGGAAGCCUCGUUCCUGGAAGCUAAAGUCCCUCAAUAUGGAGGUUGAUGACACGAGAGCUAGAGGUGACCAAGAGAAGAUGAACUCAGAGUAUGAACAGUUCCUGAGAGAUCUGGAAGAGAACCCGGAGUUGAGGUUCAAUGUAUCAUUGUAUCGUAACAAAGAAUAUCAGCCUUCUGAGAUGGCAUCUAUGACUGAUGGGGAAGAUAUACCUUCCAUUCCUCUAGAGGAGUUGCUUGCUGAUCUUGAGAUAGAUGACGCCGAAGAUGAGGACGAAGGCAUGAGGGAAUGAAUAUUAAGUUUUGUUUAUUUUUCUGGUUGGCUUGAAAUCAUCUUUUCAUCAAGUAGCUUUAUUCUGUGCUUGACAUGUCUUUGCUUUCGCGUAAUGUAGUUCUUUCAACAAAUGAUGCUUGUAAUUUGUUGUGUUUGUUAAUUAGGGAAUUUUUUGCUGUAUCGACGAUGCUUAUGCUGAAAUGAUAGCAGAAAGGAGAAUUUUUGGCUGUAUUAACCUUUAUUGUUUGAAUUAGCCGAUGAUGCAAAACUGUUGCCUGAUUUCUAUUAUUUUUAGUGGCAAAUGGCUUAACCACAUCUCGAUAACCUGCUAAAUAAAGAAACCAGCUUCACACUUGACAGAAUGAUCACUGACCAGCAUUUUUGAGAAAAUAUUGGUGUUGUACUAUUUCAGAGCAUGAAUUGUUGACAAAUAUCGGAGGAUUUCUUUCCAAAAAUGCAAUGGAAUCAUGCAAAACAUCUCUUUUUACUUUCAACUGAGCUAGAACUCACAAGAUCAGUCCAGAAAGGAAAGUCUAAGAAGAAAUUCACUAAGAAAUGUAAAUGCAUUUGGUAAAGCACAAAGGCUUCUUUUGCCAAUAAUCUGGAAAGAAGAAUCAAGUAAACAUACCUUUGCCACAUUGAGUCUUUCACGAUGGAACUGCAUUAUUUUGCCUAGAGCAGAAACAGCAGCACCAUUGACCAUUACACAUUCUCUGUCCAACGCCUUAGGAUACCCUAUCACCAAACUUUUAAACCAGGAACAGCCCCUGCCAAAAGAACUCAAGCAUUGAAGGACAGUAUAGGAAAUAACUCAUAUAGCAGUAAGCAGAAUAACAAAGCUACCUCGAAUAAGAGGCUUGAAUACCGACCCACCAGGCCACCAUCUUCUGCAAAUAUACCAAUUUCCUGUGGAACAUUAAUGAAGUGUGCCAUCAUGAGAGGCCUGAGUCAGAGAUAAUCCUCCUGAACUUCGGGGAUCUCAUCCUUGCAAGGUCUAAGCUGGUCUGGAAGACUAUUCCUGAAGUACCAUUCUGUUCAAAUUGAAUAAAAAAACAUUCAAGCAACAUAUUCAAUAAACAAAAACAUAUUUCCCCUUGCAUUGCGAAACUGAUACUGUUUGCAGCUUGCAGCUCUUCUAUUUACAUUGCUAACUAAAAUCAGUACAGUGCUCAAUAAAAGAGUUUCAUAUUUCUAAGGAUCUAGAUGGCCUUGGGGUGAACUUUGCAGAGGGAUUAGGAGAAAGCCUGUUACCCUUUUUCUUCGUUGGUGGUGCUGGUUGUGGACACAAACAUGCUUGGAGAAUCUGUGUUUCUUGUUGAGACUUUCUUUGGAGAUUGGUGGUGAGCGUGAUCUCUACUUCAAGGUUUGUAUAAAAAUAUAAAAUAUACGUGAUUGCUUGGUCAAAGUGAAGUGAAGAAUUUUUAUUGUUUUGGGAUCACUCAAGCAAAUAAACAGGCAUUAGGUUGGCAUGGCCACGGUUUGCACACAAUAGUAUACAAAUUGCUUUUUUCUCUGGCUAGACGCGUCAUUGUGAAUUCUAUGAAGCUUUUCCACCAGUCUCAUGGCUAUAUAGGCAUCCUUUUGCUGGAUAGGGUUAACAAAAGUGGACAGCUGGGGAAGAGGCGUUGAGAUAUGUGUUUUAUGAUUAAGGCUGAGAUUGUAAGAGAAUUAGGGUGAUUGGGAGGGAAAGGGUGGUGGUGGCUAUUGGUCUGGGUGAAUUGAGGAAGUGGGUUGAUAAGAGGGUAGAGGAUUUGUAUCCGGUCGAGCUUGCAGAGAGGAUGUCGUUGUUUGGGAUUGGAGUGUGUGAUCCAGCGAAAGUGUCUAGAUUGUCUAUGGAAUCGAAGAAUUCAGCUGAAAAUUUUGGAUUUCUCAGUCACAGUGGCACUUCGAUGACAGUGGUUUGUGAAAAAACGAUUCAUCAACAAAUCAGAAUUUCUGCAUUAAUAUGCUUUCUUAGUUUCUUACUGUCAUUACAACAUCUGCAGUGAAUGCAUCCUUCUCUGGAUGCAACAGCCUAAGAAUGUUGCCUUUAGUUUGAAAAACAUGCUUGUUUGUUGCUGUCAUUGCAUAUUAGCUUCAACGUUGCAGGAAAAUCAGCCUGGAUAACCUUGCUAUUUACCUUUCCAUGUUAAAAAAAAUUAUCACCACCUUAGACUUAGAUUUUAGUUUCUGCCUAGCCCUGUCUUAAAAAAAAAUAUGACAGAUUAACUCUUUCAUGCCCAUAAAUAAAUGGCAAGAGCUUGAAUUGAAUCCACUGUAAAACUUUCUUUGAAAUAGGAUCUAGCAGUCCCCAGAAUCAAGACAAGUCCAUUACAAGAGCUUAUAGCCCUAUACAUGAGAAGCGUCUUGGUUUUCUUUAGCAUCGUUGAUGCUCCAAAAAAACUGAAUCACUGUGAUAGGACAACUCUCUGUCAGGUCCCAUUUCCUAUUUUUUGUGUGAUAGGAUGGACGAGUCAAAGCUUUUGCAAGUUCUCAAUCUUAGAAACAAUCUUUUGUUAGAAAUACUUGAUUGUUGGAGGCAGUGACAAUAUUUAGGCAACAACACUUUUACCAGUGACAUUCCAAAUUCGCUAGGAAACUACAGUUACCUUCAAUCUUUGAGCCUUGAAAAGAAUAUCAUUUCUGGUGGCAUACCUUUGUCACUUGAAAAUUGAUCACAGUUACAAACCCUUGACUUUGCUGAAAAUCAAUUAGCUGGUAUUGUUCCCUCAUGGCUUGGAGAAAGGUUGUCUAAUUUGAAGGUUGAAGAACUCUGUUAUAUAACUUCUUUACAAGUUUUAGACCUUUCUCACAACAAACUGUUCGGAAGCAUACCUGGAUGUGUUUAAGAAAUCCAGUGCCAUGAUGACCAAUGAGUAAUUCUUCUGAAGAACACAUACAAUCUGAUAUAUACUACACUAGCAAAUAUGAGGAUGUAUUGCUGGUGAUGAAAGGGAAAAUAAGACCAUUCUGAAGCAAGAAGCAUAGACCUUACCAGCGCCAGCAUUUAACUUGACCCUCUGGCUAGCACUGCUAUAUUCAGUUCUUUUUUUGGAUUUAUCAAGCACCUCUUUUUUUCUAGAAUCAUUGGACAACAACUAUGUUCUCUUUGUAUCUGCUUAUUCACUUAUUAUGCAAGCAUCACAUGUGUUAAACAAACUCCUUUUCACCUAAAGAUAUUAUUGCUUAACUGCUGCAUUCAUUGCCUUUCAGUGCAACUAGAUCUUGCUUGCAUGUUAGGAAAGUUCUUCCUUCUUUUUUUCCUUGCUAUGCGAUUCAGAGUUCAUCAAUUUGUAAUUGCCAAGAAAGCCCGCAGCGUCGCGCGGGCAAUCCACCUAGUAGAAACAGAACCAAUUUGAUGGAAAUCAGAGAGUCAUCACUGUAGCAUCCUCAGUUUCAUCUCCUAUGUCCUUCAACUAAGUUUUACCAAUAGUCGCCAUACAACAACGUAAUUUAAGAUCAUUAUGCAUUAUUUAAACGAGAAUAGAUAAACUCACCCAUAUUGCUUAAAUAUUAGGUGAGGCCUCAAAUAUUAUUAUUCUAUAAUACACGUUUUAAUAUUUGGUUGAUAAAACUAUAAUAUUAUGAUAAAAACCAUUUUAAUUCAAAAAAUUAAACUAUUACAUGACACUUUAAAAUAUAAUUUAUAUUAUUUUCUCAUACCAACUAGAAUAAUAAAAAAAAUACUUAUGAGUGCUGAUAAAAGUGGCCAUACAACCAGCAGGCUGCAUCAAGAAAUAAACACAAGGCAACAAGCAAACCUCAUUCCAAGGAACAUAUACAAACAAUUAAAUCUGAAAUGAGUAUAAAAGCAGCAUGUCCAGUUAAAGAUAACAGAAACUACAGACUUUGUCAGAAACAUUUUUUCUUUCUGAUUUUCCUCUUCUACUAAUUCUUGCUUUCUUGUGUCAAUGUCCACCAUUUUGCUUCAUGAUCGAGAUGGUCUGUUUAUGAGAACCUUCAUUAUCUCUACCUAGAAGAAGUUGAUUUGGUCUUCGCCUAGAGUUGGUCCUGACAACUGAAAGAGAAGAGAUCAUGGUUAAGAAAGCAGCCUUUGUUAAUGCGAGCACCACUUGUUGACAAUACUGUUCUUGAAAUUCCAGGCUCAAAUGCUUGGAAAAUUCUUUAAUUGUAUUUAGAGCUGCCAACAAAUGCGAGGGUGGAUAUGUUCAUUGACAACUUCUGUAAGUAAUGCUGUCAUAUCAUUCAAAUCGUGUUUCCAUGCCUGCAACACAUAUAAGCAACAUUAGCCCAGGGAUGAUUGAAGGAAGCUCUUUCUAAGAAUUUACCCUGUUCCUCACCCAGGGCAGCUGCAAUUCUAGCCAAGGUCUUCUUCCCAUGAGCCGAAAAUCUUGACAAGUCCUGAUUCUUGUCAUCUCUCUAUGCGGUUUCACAUUCUGGUUCAUCUUUUAUGACUUCGAGCAUAAACAACAUCUUUUCAUUGAACUUCGUGAUAAAAUGUGGCAAUUCGAGUAGAAUUCUCGAUCCUGAUAUCUUUCUUCAGCUAAAAUGACUACAAAUUCCAGUGCAAGAGCCUGGUUUUCCGCUACAGUUCAACUACAUUAUCAAAAUGGUUCUUAGAGACAAUGAAUUAUUCUUUGCCAACCAAAUCAAUUUGAUUCCUUGACCACCACUUGUGCAUAUUGGUCUGAAUAAUGAUAGACCGAAAUGAAAAGGGUAUUCACCAUUUGAUCCAAAUGGGAAAUGUACCUAUAGUAAUUCAAUCGAUUUUUCCAGUAUAAGAUAAAAUUAGUUGAGUUAUGAACUGCCUGAGCAUAUGCCUCCAAACUCAUUUUAGAAUCAAAUAUAUUCAACAACCUAUUAUGGCAUUGUGGCAUCAACUUACAAAGCAAAUGAAGUGCACACUUUAGUUUCCCCUCGGAUCUAGAAUUCAAAGAUUCCUAAAGAAACUCAGUAGGCUCAGGCCAUUCAUUUCGAUCAAUUACUACUUUUUGACAAGCUUGGCUACAAAAUCGUGAAUUUUAGGCAAAAACCUUUCUGGCCUUGUGUAUAAAGGCAAUCAAGAAUUGCAGAUUUCAGUUUUUUCAUCCUCGAAGGAGGUUUCUUGCCAAAAUCCAUGCUGAUCAUCACUUAGAAGAAGAGUGAGGGUCUCAAAUGUAUGUAUUUGGUGUCCAUUUAUUCAGGGAUUAGAUUAAAGCAUUUGCGUUAAUGAGGUGGUCAAAUUACAAAGUCGUGGUACUUUAGCCCUUGGAUGGUGGCAACUCUGUGUCAUGUGGCCCUCGAGCUUCUUUUCUGACAUAGGCGCGAUGGGUGUUAUAAGAGCAAUGGACAAAGACACGUGUUUCUUUCUUUCUGGCAGAUGUUCAUUAUCAGAAUGAGUACCUCUUUUAGAUUAGAAGUGAUUGAAUAAGCAAUUUAUUCCUUUGAUUUAUGCAUUCCAGGAACUGUUAGGGCAAAAAGGGUGAAUGCACAUAAGAAUAGUUCAUAUACAUUCUGCAAUGAGAAGACUUGCUGAUUAGCACCAAGGUUUCGAAGUGGGACAGACAACAUUGACGACUAGAAAUAACAAUCUAGGAUGAUAAUUUUGAUUCCAACUUCCUUCGCAGAUGGUUUUCCAUGGAUAACAUGAAGGAUCUCCAGGUAGAGGGGAUUGACCUUCUCCUGUAAAGUUCCAAUUGCUUGAUCAUUUGGCUUACAGUUUCCUCAGUUGCUAACUUCUUACCUGCCCACAGGAUCUGAACAAAAAAAAAAAGGAGUUACUCUAUGAUAAGUAGAAUUCACAGAAAUUUAAUCAAUUUUCUGUUUUUAAACAAAGGAUGGAACUAUUGGACUGUACCUCGGCAUAAACAGUAACAAUCUUGUGAAGAUUUUUCUUUUUGGGACCAAGAAGUUCCACAUCUGACCUGAAAUGAAAUAAGAAAAAUACUCCAUCAGUGGAAAAUAUAACUGACUGUUUCUAGUUGUACUUCAAACAUGUGAUGAAAAUUUUGACUUACACUUCAACUAGUGAACAAAGCUGAUGAUGCGCAACUUUGGCCUCGUUUAGAUUAUUUUCCAGCGGCAAAUGUCUUAACCAUGUCUUUAAAAACUGUUAAAUAGAGAAACAAACUUCACAGAAUGGCCAUAAUAUGCUUUCCAAAGGACAAAUUAAUUCCUAGCUUUGCGUGUGCUACUGUUUUACUGACAACAUACUCUCCUGUUGAAGAUCAGCGACACACACAACGUAUAACGAAAGAGAAAGAAAGAACUAGGGUUUCUCGAGUCUUAAGGAUAUAGCCCUAGACCUAAACCAUAGAGAAAACACUGUUUUAAUAUGUUCUGAAAUUCAAUAAUUCCAAAAACUAUUCUUGAAAUAACUUACAAAUGGUUUGAAUAGAUGCUAAACUAACCUAAACUAAUUAAAACCUAAUUAAAUCAAAAUUCUAAAACCUAACUAGGAAAAGAAUAUGAAAAUAACUAGGAAAUUAAAGCAAAAUCCUGAACAACAACUUCAAGAUGUAAUUUGGACAUGGCAACAAGUUGACCCGUUAUACCGUAUUUCUUCUAGUAAAUCUCCUAAUUGUUCGAAUCCAAUUUCUUACUAGUGAAGAAUAGAUGGAAUGAACCAGAUCAAAAUUAUGUUCAUUUUCAUCAGAAAGCUCGCUUUACUUGUUCAGUCUUUCUUCUUGGACUCAAACUUGUCAAUACGUGUAUCGCUUCAAUAAGUCCAAAAGGAAAGUCUAAAAGGGAGUAGAAGAUGAAAUGCAUGUGUACGCAUUUGGUAAAACAUAAAAGCUUCCUUUUCCAUUGAUCUGGGAAUAGGAAAAAAGUAUAUAUAUACCUGUGCCGCAUUGAGUUUUUCACGAUGGAACUGCAAAAAUUUUCCUAGAGCAGAAACAGCAGCAUCAUGGGCCAUUACAUAUUCUAUCUGCAACGCCUUAGGAUGGUCUAUAACCGCUUUCAAAGCAUAAAAAGCCCCUGCCGAAGAAAAAAGUGAUGUGAUUUAUUACAGUAACAGACUGUACUGGACUAACUCAUGUAGCAGAAAGCAGUAUAACAAGCAACCUUUAAGAAGAGACUUGAAUGCAGACCCACCAAACUCAGCAAAUAUCCCAAUUGCCUGCACAGCCACCUGAAACGACAGUAUUUUGAAUCAGAAAUGCACCACAUGAAUGCGUGCCAACAUUACAGGCAUGAGUGGGAGAUAAUUAAAUUUGUAUUCUGAUGAAAGUGGCCAAACAAUCAACGGCCUGCAUCAAGAAAUGAAAAUAAGGCAAGAAACAGAACUCAUUUCAAGGAACCUGCACAGAUAAUUAAAUUUGAAAUAAGCGGCAAGGCAUAUCUAAUUAAAGAUGACAAAAACUACAGACUUUGUCAUAAACUUUUUGUUCUUCUUGUAACGUCUGCUUUAUUACAUCAAUGUCCCCUACUUUGCUUCUUGAAUUCAAAACAUUCAUUAUCUUCUUCAAGAACAAGUUCAGUCUGGUCUUCAUCUAGAACAGGUCCAGACAUCUGAAAGAUAAAGAGCACAUUAGUACGCGAACAGCAUUUUGCUAUAACAUAUGAAUUCGAUUAGCAGAAUCAUUAUCCUUGGAAAGAUAUAUAGAGGGAAAAAAAUAUGAUUAAAGUAGAAACAAGCAAUUUGAAUUCUUCUGAUGUAAGAUCAUAGACAGCUAUACGCAGUACAGAUUUAUUAAAAGCAAUACAGACCUUCAUGCAUUCCUCCAAUGAGUCCAAAAUUAUUGCAGCAAUUUCGGGCAAGGAUUCCUACUCAGCAAUAGCAAUUACAAAUUACAAAUUUCUUAAAUGGCAGCGAAGCUUAACAAAAAGUCAUUUCUUUGAUUAAAAAAAAAUGUCAUUUCCAGAUAGAAAUUACCUUACUUAGUGCUUUUACCAAAGCUGGUAACACAUCAGAACAUAACUUCUCGAAAGGAGAUUCAUCAGACAAUUCAAGAUUCCCUUUUUGUUUUGCUUCUUUAGAUGAUUUUAAUAGCACUGGCAUGGCUAGUGUGGAAGCACAAAAAAAUUAAAUUGUUACUGUCAGUGAUGCAGGAGCAUUCCUGAUAAAUAAAAAAUUUACGUUGAGAAAUUAAGAUGAGAUAAAUGGUGCUUAACAAGGUUUAGGACAGCUGAAAACUCUCAUAACAAGCUCAGAUUUUGAAUCUAACUUCAAAGGAAAAACUGAAUUAAUUCUAAGCAAAACACUAUGCAAUCCAUAUAUGACUAGAAAGCUACACGUAUCUAGGUUCUGAUGCUUCAAAUGGUGUGUGCGGUAUCGGAGUUUCCUAGACGAAGUUGUGACAGUUUUACUCCAAGGUGUGCAGGCUGUCAGGAAAUCUGCAAUCUAUUCUGAGCAUUAGUUUUAACUUGCAGAAUUAUGCCUUCUUUGUCAAGGAACAUUGAUGUGUAAAUACCUGAAGCAGCAACUCUUCGAAUCUCUUCGUUGAGUAGAAAGUUGAGAAAUGGAACUAAAGUCUGAGCAACCUACACAUAUACAGCCUUUUACGUUUUGUUUGAAGAGAUUCAAGAAAGGAAAAUCAUAUGAAGUGCUACAUAACUAACCUCUUCGAUCCAUACAGAAAGUCCGUCCUUCAACUCAUCAGCAAGUAAAUACAGCCCUUUACAAGCUGCAACUUUCUCCUCCAGGACCUUAGUCUUGAUCCAUAUCUUUCGUUCUCCAAGAAUCAGGGCCCUGAUACUGUAAAAAUCAUAUAUCCCUCAGCAAAAGGAAAGGGCUAAAAAUCAUAAUAUCAGAUCAUAAUUCGAAACACCAAAUGUUGCUAUCUUAUUGUUAAAAUAAUUUCUUCUGAAAGCAUAAAGCUAAAAGAAAAGAUUUCUCGAUUUCAGAGUAUAGCUUAUGCCAUUGUAGCAUUGUUUCUACAAGUAUAAAAAAUCAGGAAUAAGAAAAGAAAUUUACUUAUAACAUAUGCAUUAGAGGAAUGAAGAAAAAAUUUCAUCUUAAAAGCCAACCUUCCGUCUGAUUCAUCAACAUUGUCAGGAUUCUCAGGUAUAAGGACAUAUGAUCCAAUUUUAGCAGACCUGAGCAAACGAGGAAUGGAGACACUCAUAUAAGGUUUGAAUUCUUUUCCCAAGCAUUUCCCCAGUCUGGCCCAUGCCUGAAACAUGGUUAUUGAUUUGUGUUAGAUAAAAAGCAGGUAUAAAUGAAAGUACUGCGUUUAUGUUUCAAAUGAAAUCGAAGAAGUAAUAUUAACAUACUUGCAACAGUUGACAUCUCAUUGGAUCAUUUGCCUCUAAUUCAGAUCUUUGUAAAGAGAUAGCAUUUUCACAACCUUGUAUGAGAUAACAAACAGUUAGUGAGGCAAUGAUCUCACAAUUACAUAUCAUUUGGCCUUGCUGACCCCAUCUGUUUGGGUUACAGGCUGACUUCAGGUGGUCUAUUCUUAAAAACUUUAUUGACAAUUACCAUAUCAGUAUCAUCUCUGAUCUUCUCCUUUCCUACAGCCAUCCAAACCAUAGUGAUGCAAUCCACGGAAUUGGCAAGAAGGUUGUGAUCAAGUUCUUUUUUCGCAGUCAUCAUUAUAACCUUAAGGUAAGGCAUGACAGUACUGUAAUACUCUGCAAACUGAUCCUACAGUGUCAAAAUAAAAGGAUAAAUGAAAUGUAAGAAAAAUAAAACUUAGAUUAAGAGACUAUCAAGAAGUACCUGUGAUGAAUAGGCAACUGCUGACAAUACUUUCAAAGUUUCACUUGAUCAUGUGCUUUUCUUCCUGCAUUAGUGCCAAAAUGAAUUAUAAACAAGGGUGCAUACAGUAGAAUGAAUUGUAUUUAAGAUAAUAUACCCUUAAUUCUUUGAGCAAUUUGGUGACAAUUUCUUUUAGGUAAGGAUUUAGAAUACUUGGAGUGCAGUUCGAGGUGAAUUCAAACAAUGCUGAAUAAGCUUGCACCUGAGAGGAUAUAAUAAGUAAAAUAUGAAGAAUCAAGGAUAUAAAAUCUAUAGGCAAGAUGGCAAAAGGAUACUGAUAAUACAAGAUUAAGCCAGGAUUAACUACUUCAGGAAUCGAAGUACCUGAACGCGGGGAUAAUUGAAAUCAUCCAUGGCUUUCGUUAAUGCAGGAAGAACUUGGUCACGAUACUGGUCUUGAAAUUCAGGUUUCAAAUUCUUGGAAAAUUGUUUAAUUGUAUAUAAAGCUGUCAAACGCACACAAGGGUGCAUGUCUUCUUUGACACUUCUUAUAAUUCUUCCUGCCAUUUGAUCCCAACUGUGUAUCGACUCCUGCAAAAUAUAGAACCUUAGGGAUGAUUUUGAAGUCCAAUAAAGCCACAAGAAUUAGAACCAAUGACAAAACAUUAGAAUGGAAAAGGAGAAAUAAUCUGAGACCUUUAGACUUGAGCAUCUCUCUGCAACAAUGCCAAGGGAAAGAACCGCAGCGUGGCGGCUCUGCCAAUCUUCAGCACAAAAAUUAAUUGCAAAUAAUCGGGGGAAAUACCUCAUAAGAACUUCCCCACCUAAGGCGGCUACAAUUCUAUCCAAGCACCUUACAAUGAGGACCAUUCUUCAACCCAUCCAAAACUCGAUGCAAAUUUGUGGUUGGAGGCUAGAUCAUCCAGUGGAUCCAAUAAAAAUCGAAUUUAUGAUAUCUCAAAUACUUUGACCGAGGAUUUUCUUAUGGGACGUAGUGUAUCAACCAUUGGAUCCUUCCAAUUGACUUCAAGCUCUCAAUCUACAAAGUUCCAGGAGCUUAUACGAGAACAAGUUCAAGCUCAAACGACCUAGCUUACUACUAAGAUAAAGCAGCUUAGUGCUGAGAUGAAUGGAUUUUGAUGAUUGUAUAUAGAGUUUUUGGCAAACAUUGGUGGUACAUGUGGUGCACCUCGUCCCUCAUCCAGUCCCAAUGAAGAUCCGUCUUCACCUUCUCCUCUUUAGCACACAUGCCAUAUAGAUGAAUUAUAUUCAAAAUAAUAAUUUCUAAAUUUACAAUAAAUAUUUGGUUUUUUAAUUUAGUUUUGUUUAUUUGAAAUUUUUUAUAGUCUUAUUUGAUUUUUUUAAGAAAAACAUUAAAUACAUUAAUGAUAGAAUUACUUGUAGAAUAGGUGAUCCGUUGGAUUGUUCCAGAGAGUUUAAGAAAUUACAUGAAAUGUCGGACGACAUCAUCAACGGACUAAUUUUAUCGGAAAGUUCGAGAGAGUUUGAAAAAAAUUACAUGACCUUGCUAUUGACAAUAUGUAAAUCAUUGACGGUUUGAAUCCAUUGGUGAUAUGAAAUAAAUCACUGAUGAAAUUAUAAAUGAUUUUAUAUGUCGGUAAUAUGACAUCCUCAUCGAUAUAUAGAAUUAUAGACAAAAUGAUAUCGGUAAAUUUUUUAGUUCAGCGUGUCUUUUUCAUCUAUAAACUUAUUGAUGAUUAUAUUACCGAUGGAAUGACUAACCAAAUAAGAAUCGUCGAUGAUUGGUUUUUUGACUAAUAUUAACAAUCUAUAAUUCUGGUGGCAAACAUUUUCCUAUUAGAAUUAAUGUUUAAAUACAGAUGAAACAAUCCAUCAGUAAUUAUGAAAAAUUCUGGUAGUGUAAACAUUCAUUAAAAAGAAUUCAAAAAGAGGUUAAGAAUUUAAAAAUUAAGUGCUGGAGCUAUGAAAUUAAGUGCAAAUAUUGCAGUUCUUUUUACUGUUACAUAUGUUUUUCCGAUUAUAUUUUUCUAAAAAUACUAAAACCCCAGUAAAGUUGUAAUUUACCAUGCACGCGAUGUGCAAUUAGGGAAUGGGAAUGAAAACGGUUAAAAAGAACAAAAAAAUAAAUAAAUCCAAACUGCUUUGGUCCCAACCGUACGUGUAUCGAUUUUUUUUAUUGAAAAAUAUUAAUAACUAGUUGAUAGUGUUAGGAGAUAGAGGGAAUCGAGGUUUAUAUCAUAAUGACAUAGAAUUAACCUAACCCCUAUAUAUAUAUAAAUAAUGAGAAACUAAUUUGGCAAUCUAGUUAUUAAGUGUAAAUAAGUUUAAUUUCAAACAAAAAUACUAAAAAAAUUAACAUUUCAACUUUUGAAAAAAAAAUUAUAAUAUUCCAUCUAUAAAAAAUAUAUAAGAGAGAUAAACACAAAAUUACAUCCAAGUUCACAAAAACAAAUGAUAAAAAUAUUUAUCUUCUGAAUUUUUUUUUUGUUAAUUUCUCACUGUUGUAAAACACAAUAUAAUGAGUUAAUCUAUAUCAUCUAGAUUAAGCUAAAAUUCAAUAAAAAUAGAAAAGAAUUAGUUUAAUAAAACCCGGUAAAAAAUCAAAGUCGACUUGACACAAUCAGCUGAAGAAAAAACAAUCAAAAUUUAUUGAUUUUUUUUAAAUAAUUUUUUUUAUAAAAUAAAAAAAAUUAAAUUUACAAUUCACGUUACUUGUGACUUAAACUUGUGACUUGGUACUUGCUUUGUAUAUCAACCUUCAAGUUAGAUUUAAAAGCUAUGAAAUUUCCUCUUUUAUAUAUAUAUAUAUAUAUAUUUGAUAAUUAUAACUUGAAUAUCAUGAAGUUUUUAUUUUUAAAACUAUUAAAUAAUUAUUCGUUAAUUACAACGUCACUACAAAUUCUUUAAUCAUGUUGCAUUACGACCCCACGAAAUUUGUUUGUGUUUGUUAAUAGAUAAAAGGCCUAUUCUCCCACGUAUAUAGAAAGAAAGAAAGAAACAGCCCUUCAUAAUUAAACUCGUUGAGAUGCAUGAGAGAGACAAGAGUCUUGUAUUAAGCUCAUAACCAAGGGCUUAGAUUUGCCUCCAUAUCCCUUGCCUCUCUUUGUGUCUCUCUGAGAGCUUGUCUAGAAAUGGGAAGAACAACAAGCUCUUCACUUCUCUUAACCUUCACAUUCAUCGUCUCUUUGUCAUCUCUCACUUGUCCUUCACUUUCAGCUUCCACAGAUGCAUUUGUCUUUGGCGGCUGCACUCAACAAAAAUAUGUACAAGACUCACCUUUUGAGUCCAACCUUAAUUCUCUCCUUACUUCUCUUGUCAACUCAGCUACAUACUCUUCUUACAACAACUAUACCAUUAUGGGGUCAAGCCCACAAGAUGUUGUUUACGGGCUUUACCAGUGCCGUGGUGACCUGUCAAUGCCUGAUUGUGCCACAUGUGUCGCCCGUGCCGUGAGCCAACUCGGUGUUCUGUGUGCUCAGACAUGUGGCGGAGCAUUGCAGCUGCAAGGUUGUUAUGUAAAGUAUGAUAAUACAACGUUUUUGGGUGUGGAAGAUAAGACUGUGGUAUUGAAGAAAUGUGGACCUUCGGUUGGGUAUGAUACGGAUGCUAUGAACCUUAGGGAUGCAGUUUUAGGGGGGCUGGCUAGAACUGGUGGGGCUUACCGGGUUGGCGGGUCAGGUGAUGUCCAGGGUGUGGCCCAAUGUAUCGGUGACUUGAGUACCGGAGAAUGUCAGGACUGUUUGUCGGAGGCGAUCAUGCGGCUGAAAUCCGACUGCGGCACGGCAGAUUAUGGUGAUAUGUUCCUGGCUAAGUGCUACGCUAGGUACACCACCGGUGGGCCUCAUGUGUAUACCAAGUCUCAUAGUGGUAAGCAUAGUUUCAAAUCAUGACUAAGGGCUAGUUUUUCUACGUAUUUAACCAUAUUUCAAACUGUAAUUAGCCACAAUAAGCAUAAAAAAGAUGUUUUCUGUGGUCAACCAUAGUUUAUAAUGUAUAGAUAAACACAAGCUAUAAAUUUCUUCGAGGAAAGUACAAAAUGUCCACGGGAGAAGUGAAAAGUUUCAAGAUUAGAAUGUUUUGAAACGAGAGAAGUGAUUGGAUUGCAAUUUUGUUUUUUAUUUACUAUUUCCAAAAGCAGAUAAAUCUACCAGUGAUGGUGAGAAGACAUUUGCAAUAAUUAUUGGACUGUUGGCUGGAGUAGCAUUGCUCAUUAUUUUUCUUUCUUUCCUUAGAAAGGUGUUCGGAGGAAAUGGUAAAAUCCCAACUUUACUUGCCUUCAAUUUUUUUUUUUUCCUGACUGCCAAUAUUGCUUCCCAUGCAUGCAGGUAAAUAAAUUAGCUCAAUUAUUUCAAAGUCGACCUUGGCAUAGCACUCAAUCUCAGCCUGCUAUAUUGAUCUACUCCUGGUGCUUCUUUUGCUUUCCUUUCCUUUCUUCAUGAUGUCAACUUUCCCCCCUCUCUCUCUAUGUUCCCUUUUCAAGAUUUUCUUUGAUUUUACUCUCAAAAGGAAGGAUUGAGCAAAAGAGGUUUAGAGGGGGGGUGGCAUGUAUCCAAAAAAAAAAGGUGGGAAAAAGGGUGAAAGGGAAGCUAAGAUUCCACUCUCCUCUCCCACUUUUGAUAAAGUUGUAUUGUCCUGAUGUGAAAAGAUUGGCAUAUUCCUUUUGUAAAGGUGAAAAUUAUGACUAUCUUUUUAGUACUUUGAAUAAGUCUUUUCAAUGAUUCUUUGUGAUUGUCUAUCAAUUACAGAAGGGCAAGUCUUGUUAAUUUGUGCUACUUUGAAUGUCAAGCGUGAGAAAGAAAACCAUGUUCAUCUCGAAGAACAGAAAGUUUUAUCUCUAUAUUCAAGAUUCAAGAACGAAGUGAUAAUUAAGAGAAACAAAAAAAAAGAUUGGAUUUUUUUUAUUGAAUAUGAUGCUUCUUAAAAUCUGGAGUCAACACAACUUUGAAUUUUGACAGAUUCAGGUGAUUGAGAACACUUAACUCUGUUGUUCCUAAGCCAGAACAUAUCUGUUUCACUUUUGUACUAAAAAAAGGCACAACUUCAUUAUCAAUCCUAAUAUUUUCAAUUUCACACCCAGUCUAUUUGAAAUUGGACACUGUUACCCUUCCAUGGACAUGAAAUAUCGAUGCAAUAUAUAUAUAUAUAUAUAUAUAUAUAUAUAUAUAUAUAUAUAUAUAUAUAUAUAUAUAUAUAUAUUAAAAAAAGUUUCAGAUGAAUUCGACAAGUGCUGCUUAAAGUAUGAAGGCAAUCUAACAGAAUAAAACUCAGAUUGAUUUCAUAAUCUGAGCUAUUCACAUGUACUCAGAAAUUAUUCUUACUUUCUCUCGGCCCCAAGUAAUUUGUUCCCUACAUUAAUGUUCACCGUGUGCUGUACAUGUAAUGGAAGUGCUUGAUGGAUGCCAUACCUUAUGGCAAGUCCUGCUGCGGGCAUCAUUCUUUUGAACUUCUGUGGACGCAGCUCUUCUUUUCAAAUCUGUGUCUCUUUACUUUUUAAGUAAUUUACCUUCUUGCUUCCAUAGGAAGAAGAUUUGUGUGUGUGUGAUUUUAGGGAAAAUUGGAUCUCGAGCUAAAAGCUUUCACCUUUUUCUCCAAACUAAGCAACUUUAAAGAAUUUCUCAAAAGAAAAGUUGAAAAAAAUUACUUGUUUAAAAAUUACUAUAAAAUAAAAUCCAGACCCCAGUACACAUUUUUUUUCUUGAGAAAGACCCUUUUUACACUUUAAUUUGAUUUGAUCAUGUGAAAAAAAAAAACCAAUGAUAUCAUCAUCAUCAUUUUAUAAUAUUCAAGAUAAUAUUUAUUAAUAUGAAAAGAAAGUAAAUGAAGAAAUAUAAAUAAAUAUCAUUUAAUUGGACCACAUUAGAAUGCUCUUUAAGUCUUAAUUUAUACAAAUUCAUGUGGGUAUAAUUAAAAUUAGGAUAAUUAUUCAUCAAUCAUAACGUCAAGUAAUGUAUAUCUAAAGAUAUUUAGUUGAAUUAAUUAUAAGAAAGAAGAGAGUACCUUUUCAACCAAGUUUUAAUUAAUUCCAUGAAUAAUAAUUACAUGAAUUUAGUUAAUGUACAUUUAACUAAUCACAUUAGUAAUUUUAAUGUUUGUUGCAUCAACCAAUCCAAUAAUUUUGAUCUACAUAAAUCCACUCCAGUCCAUGAAACGUUUUUCCCAAUUUCACCAAAUUGCACCACCUUAAGAAUUUAAAAGGAAAGAUCCAUUAAAAAAAAAAAACUAAUCUUAUGAUUGCUUAAAAGAAUAGCUAUGAAUCAAUGCCUACAUUUUACUCAACUCAACUUUGUACGAAAGAACACCGUUGGGGUUUAAAAAUAUAGGUCAAAUCUUCAUGUGUUGGAGAGGAAACUCUCUUAAUUAGACCAAAGAAUAUGAAAAUCCCAUCAUUAUCAACUUUAUUACCGAGGGAUUAAUUGGUACCAAGUCGAAGGGAUAACUUUAAUUUCAAACUCUUCUUCUUUACCACUUUGCAAUGCAUGAUAGCUAGCACCAUAGUGGACUACAUGUAGGCAUAAUUUGGAGACAAACAAAGGCAAGAAUCAUGCAGAAUAUACUGAAAUCCAUCAUCCAGUACUGCUUUUUAGCCAUGCAUGAUCAUAAAGAUCAUAUAAUUAAGAAUGUUAAGAGGUUUCUUUCAUUUAGAUGGGACUUCGACUAGUCAUAUUGCUGAAAGCGUAGCUUGACAUCCUGUAAGGCAGCAAACCCUUCGGCCAAGCUCUUUAUUCUUUAUGUGAUCAUGGUUUCCAUAGCCAUAACUUUAUAAUUAAAGAUAUUAUCCAAAUGAGCAAUCAUGCAAUUGUUUUGAAUCUAACGUUGGGCCCGUAAGGUGAUAGGAACUUACAGGUGAAGAAACUGAAGUGAUGGAAACAAAAGAGAGAGUAUGAAUGAAUGAAUGAAUGAAUGAAAGUUUUGUAUUAAUAUAUAUAUGUAAGUGUGCUCGUGAAUGAAAAGUUUGUCUCCUGUAAAGGCUAGCAAGACAUUGUGACCUCCCAAGGAUUGCCAAGAGACCACAUAGAGAAUUGGGUAAUGUCAUUCUCUUUUUCUUUUUUUUUCCAUUAAAUGCUUAUAAAUUAAUAAGCUUUUGACUAUAAAGCUGAAACUAGAAUCUUACUUUAUUAAAAAAAAAAAUAAUUGAUACACAACCAUUAAGCCAAGUUUAUGUAUAGGAUUUUACAUGUAUAUAAAGCCCAACUACCUUGAAUCACAUAAUAAAGCUAUGCUUUCUCAUCCUUAAAUCCUCUGUUUUUUUUUUUUUCAGGAUGGAUUUUAAGGCCUUUAAAUAGAAAUAUCAAGUCUCCAUUUGAAUGUGUUCUUGAAAAGGUCUAUACCAUUGGAUUAUGUAUAGAAAUGAGAUGGGAGAGUUAAGCACACAAAGUAAUUAAAACAAAAGCCAAAAGAAUUCAGGAAUUCAUUAUACAAAUACUCACAUUUUAUUAUGGAUUUACAUAGUAAAAUAAUUAUUUUAUUCUUUUUACACUAAAUCAUAUAACUUGGAUUAAAGGGUAAUAUUAUCUUUUCCAUGUGAUCCAAUUAUCAUUAACAAAUUGAUGAAGGAUAUAUGAGUCAUCUUACAUUUUUAUUGCAUAGUAAAAUUACUAAAUAGACCUUAAAAAAAAAUCAUUUAACUUUUUUUAGGGGCUUUUUCAAAAUUUUAUUUAAAAAUCAAAUAGCAUUAUUGUUUACAGUGAUUCGACGAUACUUGAAUUCCCCCCUUUUUUUCUCUCUUAUCCUCAAUAAACAUUACUGAUUUUCAGGAAUUUUAGGGAAAAGGUUGUUUAUGUAAUAAGAAAGAUAGAGAUUACCUUAUACAUCCUAUUUAAAAUUAUAAGUUAUAUUAUUAUUUGUUUUCAAUGAUAAAUCUUCUUGCGAAGAUAGAGAGAAUGUUUUUUUGUAUUUAAGUAUGUUUUUUAUAAUGAUCAAAAAGUGUUUUUGAUUUUUUUUCUUCAAAGUAUUUUUUUAUAAUUUUGGAUUGGUAUAGUACGCUGAUAUCAUAAAAGUAUUAUUAUUGAGCCAUUAAUUGUCUACAAACCAAAAACCAUUAACUGAACUUAGUUCAAUAACUCUUAAAAUCUAUUUUAAAAAAAAAUUCCAAUGGUUAAAUCCAAUGGUUCUAAAACAAAAAACUAACUUGUUCAAAAUCUUUUUAAAAAUCUAGAUUUACUUUUAGUGCUGAGGUUGAACCUACUUUUCAUCAAAAUGUUUUAAAAAAAUUCUUUAACUUUUUUUAAAUGUUUUUUAAUUGUUUCAAUUUAUUAAUAUUAAAAAUAUUCUUUUAAAAAAAUAUUAUUUUAAUAUAUUUCCAAAUAAAAAAACACUUCGAAAAAUAACUUCUAUCACACUCUCAAAUAUCUCAUUAUACAAAUCAUUCACUACAAAUUUAUUCACAAAAAAAUUAUUUUCCAUAAUAUUUCUAUAUGUUCUCUUGUUUUGAUAGUUGUUAAAUUCAGGUCUAAUAUGUUGAUAUGAGAAACCUAAAAUAUCCGGUUCGACUUUUUAGUUGAAGUGUACCAAACAUUAACAUGAUAAAAUUCAUGAGAGAGGGACAGGGAACAAGGGUUUUUCUAGAGAAAUUGAGCUACCAGAUGAUGUGAAGCUGGAUCAAGUCAAAGCUCAAGUUGAAAAUGGUGCUCUCACUAUUAUUGUGCCAAAGGAUACCAGCCCAAACCCAUCUAGAGUCAGGAACACCAAUAUCACUAGCAGGCUUUGAAAUGAAUAAAUCUAGAGUUCAAUAUGUUUGGCUUAAGAAUCUGUAUGAACAAAUAAUGGGAAGUGUGCUGGUCUUUUCUCUGCUGUGCAAUGUGUUGUCCUAAUUAAACUUUCUCUAUCCUGUAUGAUGAAGGCAUUGUCUUCAAAUUUCAGCAGCACAAACAUAAAAAGUAUCAAGCUUUUAAUGGGGAUUAUCUCCUGUUUAUGUGCUUAAAAAGGUGGGAAGGUUGAAAAUGCCUUCUCUGCUCCUCAAACCCAAAGAAAAUUUCUCUUCCAUCUCUCAUCUUUUUUCUUCUUUUUUUUCAAUAAUGAACAUCAGCAUUAGUCUAAAGUCCAAAUCCCCAUUAAUGUCUCACACAAAUAUGAGACAUCUGCCUCCUUCGGUUUGUCAAACAGAAAAGCUGAGAGGGUUCUCUUCUUUCUUGAAAGUGAGAUGUGUGUGAUGCCUGAUGACUCUUUCUAGCAGGUCACCAUGGUCUCUUGACUGAUUGAUGCUCAUGUAUUUCUUGUGCUUUGCAUCAUUCUUUUUGCCAGCUGAUUGCCCUAACAAUAGUUCAAAGCAAUACAAGAGCUAAAUAUUCAGGUGAUGUGGACUUGUGCAUGAAAAGUAGUUCUUUAGAUGAAGGGAUCAUUCCACUAGCAAUCAGAAAGGCUUAAAUGUUACAUUUUGUGCACAAAAACAAAAUUUGAUCAGUUAUGCAGACGUUGGAUUUAUGCGAGUUGAUAAUUGAGACUUAUCAAUAAAAGUGCUAUUCUCACACACGAAAGAGUGUCUCAAAGUAUUGAUAGGCACCGCGACUUCUAUAAUCCAAUUCGCCACUGCUACUGUUAUCUCUUGGCUUAGGCUCCAAAUCACAUAUAUUGUUAGGUGUCCCGUCACAAGUAUUAUGAAAUAUAACUCUACCACCAUUCAUGAGUAGAACAAGCUUCGACUCUUCUUCCUUUUCAGUGCGAAGAACCCUUAACACUGAAAGCGCGCAAGGAUUUUCUCUAGUGAAGAUCCACAUGGUAUCUUACAAACCAACCAGAAUGAUUAGAUGGCAUCUCCAAGACGUAGAAUUGUGAAAAAUUGGAGAGCUCAUCGGCACCUGCCAUGUUCAAAUGGCCACGAGACUCCCCAAAUUACUGAAUCUGUGUCUUGGGGCACAUUCAUGAAUAACAUAGGAGGUAUUGCUAUUGUCUUCACAGCCUCACUAACAACAUCAAAAUACACUAAAGUGCUCCUAUACUGUACCAAUAAAUGGCACCAUUACAAAAUAAACACCGUCACAGUUGAACAUUGCGAAUGGCCUUUCAAAAGGGAUUGGUGCCUGAGUCCAUGAUUCUGUCUUUAAUGAAUAUACAUCAAUUCCAUAUCCCGAUAUUACAUCCAAUAGGCACAAGAGAAUUAUAUUGUAGCAAGGUGACUUUAAAGGAUCAAAGGCCAAAAAAGCCAUGCAUGAUGAGGUAGUAAAAAAUUUAGAUAUUACUAUUUAACUAGGGAGAGCAAGUCUCUGGAAUUGCCUCUUAGGUGGAUUGCAAAUAAAAUACCGAUGCCCACGAUCGUCAUCAUUGACCACAUAGCUACAAUAGUCUACAAGAUUUGCAGGAGGCAUGGGAAACCCCCCCAGCACCUGACUUCUUCUUUAUUUGCUCCAUGGGUUUUAGCAAGUAAGCGGAAGAGCAAAGCAGCAAGCCAUUGCAAAAAUACUCUAUUUUGAUCCGAGGUACAUCGAGAUAAUCCAAGAGAGAGCCUUUUGUAGUGUCCUUGAGGAGUGGGGGCGCGGCUGUGUUUGAGAGAGGCAGAAUUCAGGGUCAGAAAUCGCAGAUUGUUUUUGACACACUUUUGAAUUUGAGAAAUGGUUUUGCAGGAAUUAGAAGUAGAAGGUCAGUAAGAAUAUCGUGGUUGUUACCAAUGGUUUGAGCUAAAAAAUGGAUUGGUUGCAUUUCUUUGGUGUUCAUAGUUCUAACACAAAAUUACUGAACUUUCACCCUUUCCACUACUUUUCUAUCACCAAGAUUUGAACUUUCACCAAAUUUUUCUACUCUUCUCAACUGGGAGAUCGAAUUAUACCAACAAAGAAUUAAGAAACUGACAUGGGAAAUUUUACCUGUUCAUGCUUGAGUUCUGAAGAUGUAAAAGAUUGAAACUUUUCUACAUGCCAAAAGGCCCAAAACCCCUUCUUUUCUCUUCAAGCUCUCGCCAUUUUUAAAAUUUGAACUUACAACUUAAUUGAAAUUAAGUCCUUUUUAAGGAUAUAUCUUCUACAUGAUUAUAUGGUAAAAAAGAAAAAGAAAAAAAAGACCCACCUCUUGCAACUACACAGCACAUCUGGGUUUAUAAAAGGAUAUGUUAAGACAAAUCCAGUUAUUAUUGAAUAAUUUGAAAGAUUAACUGUAUUUUGGUUAGCAGCCAGCAACAAUUGUGAGCCCUGCUCUUUAAAGGUUGUGUUCCAAUUGACAUUUAACAUUGCUAAUAAAGCAGAACACUUCUCACAUGUAUAAUCAACAAAAUAAACAUAAAGAAGAAAACGGUCUUGAAAUGCAUUUUAACCUCAGAUGUAUCAAUAAGAUUUGAAAGAGCAACAUGCAUAAUUUAUUACUCUCCAAAUUAUUUUUUCUUGAGAAAUCAAAAAAAGAACAAGAAGUAAUUAUAACUUGCAUAAGAUGGGAUGAUCUUAUGUUUCUUUCCUAGGCCUGGGGAAGCAUUGUGUCUUGGGCUAGGCUUUGUUUCAAGUUACCGUAUUCUAAGCCUAAGGCCAUAGCCCUUAUAUCUCUAUCAGCCAUGAGUACUCCUCUGAGCGUGCUUUAGGAUCAUUAAUCUCAGGACAAGAUCCAUGCUAAAUUAAUGAAAAGCUUUCUUGUUGAGGUCCAAGAGAGAAAGAAAAACAAAGCAUUGUAUUUGUAUUACUAUAAGGUUGGAGGAGCUUGGAAAUACUGAAGUCAUCAAUGCCGCCUUCCAGCUAAUUAAAUUGCUUCUUAUAAGGUAGUAUUGUUUCUUAAGACCUAUCAUAAGGUUGUUGGCAAGCUUAUUCGCAUAGUAAUAGUAGUUAGCACCAUAUCCAUGAUUCCUAUUGAUUGCUUUCUUUUCCUUAAAGCCCAUUUCAAGUUUGUUAUGACUUGUAUUUAUAGCUCACCCUCUAAAAAAUUACUUGAUUACUCGUUUUCUUUCAUCGUUGCUUGGUAAGAAAUUAAACCUUGCAAGAUGUUAUGAUGUAAGAUUAGUUGUCUAUUUAAAAGGUAUACAAUCUUCUGCUAUAUAUAUAUAUAUAUAUUAAAGACGUGAUUGGGCUAAAGCCAUUUGUUUUCAACUCGAAAAAAAGAAGCUAGUGUUUGGGAUAAAUUAUUUGUAAUUUGUUUUCAACUCGAAAAAAAGAAGCUAGUGUUUGGGAUUAAAUUAUUUGUAAUGCUAGAUUGUGUCUUCCCCAUAUAAGUAUGUAUUGAGGUCAUAAAGCCUUCAAAACUUCGAUGGAAAGCAUUGAUGUGAAUUUGAAUAAUUUUGUAUACCAUAAAAUGGAAAAUUUAAUGUGAUUUUAUCUAAAAUAUGCUCAUACAAUAAAAAUUCUUUUAAGAUAAUAUUAUUGGACUAAUGGUGUAUCUAAAUUUUAUGAGCCUAAAAAACACACAAAAAAACCUCAAACCUAGAAAGCAUCUUUAUUGGGUUCGAUCUACCGCACCUUAACCCAUGUUGGCCAUGAUGUCACACCCAGCAAAUCUUGUUAGGCAUGGCAUCUUGUCGAGCGUGUCAUGCCCAACUAGAGUCAGGGGUGUUGGCGCUCAACAUCCUUUAUUGGGUCUAGGCGUUAUACCUGGAUCCAAUUACGUGGGGGUGUUAAGCGCGUCAGCACCCUUUACUGGGUCAACACAUAAUGCUUGAACCCAAUUAAUUUUUAUGCUCAAGCAUGCAUCCUAACAUCCCUAUAGGCUCAUGCACGCGUGUCAAGCCUAACUUUUCCUUGAGAAUUUUUUCAAGACCCCAUGUGGAUCCUUUAGUUUUUUUAUAUUGAUCUUAUACGUUUGAUUUUGAGUAGAAUACAACUUAAAAUAUCAUAAUAGUAAAAUUACACUUCAGUCUUUCCUCUUCACAAAAGGACAAGACUCAUGAGCUAUAAAUAAAUCAUGAGUCCUUCAAGUCAAAGGUUCACAAUCUCUUUAUUCUUGACACUUUUAGCAUAUAUAUUUUUAGAGUUUAUCUCUUUAAAAUAUCAUUGUCUUUUCUCUCUAUAAAGUUAUUAACUUAAACAUCUGAGAGUCCUCAAAUUCAUCAAAUGGGACCUUUUGCAAGUACCAGUUACCAACCACCUAUGUUUUUCAUAUCAAACCAUCAGAUAUCUUAUCCAGGAAGAAUAGAUCAAAUUGCUUAAAAUAAGAGAUUAAUCAAUUAUUCAACAUAUCAGCCUUAUUCCUAAGCAUAUUGGAUUUUGAAAAUCAUCAAUUGGCGUCGUCUGUGGAAAACUGAUAAAAAACCACUACUUUCUAAAACUUAUUUUUAACACUUCUAGGUCAUUCCAUGAUACACAACCAGAACGCACUUGGGAUAGGAUGUACGAUAAAUUUUCACGUUACUGCAAAACUUCUACCCAAUCGCACCUUCAAUAACUCACCAGUCAGAUGCAACUCCUCACUCAGACCGUGUUGGCAACCCAAGGACAAAAUCAGACUUUUCCAACCCAACAAGUCUUGACACCCUCAACAACACACAACGCCACAACUAUUGGCCACACCAAGCGUCCAUAAACUAUUACACUACCCGCAAGAGACUAUACAAAAAGACAUUCCUAAGAGUCCCUCAAGGGGUCACUUUUGUCAUUAUGAUACCCACGUAUAGAGCCAGUACUCCAAACAUACUCCUUCUAGCUACCGUGGGAUGGAUAAUAGUUACCAUAACCAUCAUUUCAUGCCAAACUCCCUGGGCUCCCAAAAGCUUAACAGACAAAGGAGUAAGAGACGGUCUGUACAUGAGCAUAUUCAGAAGAAUGACUACAGCCCCCAUUAGUGGUAGGGCUCUCUCUUGUCUAAACGAGUAUUAAACACUCGACUCCCUAAGGACUACAUUUCUAUAAAAAUAAGUUUAAAGAACUAUAAUGGCCUGACGGACUUGAGGAAGCAUGUACAGAAUAUGAGUGGUAGCUUAGAGUUGGUUAUCAAUGAUAAUGACUCAAUGUGCAAAAUCCUCCUCAUAACUUUUUAGGGAUUUGCACAUGCUUUGUAUAAUAAUUUAGAGCCAAAUUCCAUCAAAAGGUUUAGUGACCUCUGUACCAAGCUAAUGGCUCGCUUCAACACCAACAUACCCGUCAAGAAAAGCUCUACGGACUAUUUGGUGUUACUCAACAAGAGGACAAGUCUACUCGAGCAUAUUUGAAGAGGUUCAAUAAGGAGAUGCUUAAGGUGGAUGAAUUGUGUAAGCCAAUAGCCUUAGAGGCCUUGAUAAGAGGAGUAAGGUAACAAGCUCUUUGAAGAAUAUGAUUUAUAACUCAUUUGAAUCAAAUAGGAUCACUCAUUCAAAUCUAUCAGGGCAGUUAAAGCAAACACCCUAACACCACCUCUAAGACAUGUUCCUCAUAAGAACCCUCUCCUCAUAUCUACCACUCAAAUCACCACAUGAUGCAUAAUCCUCAAUAGGAAUGUAAGUUUUUUUUUUAAAUAAAAAUAAUAUAUCACUGACAUAUAUUUCCUAUCUACAUAUCUUCAGUUGAGGGCUUCUGACCACUCUCUUUGAAGAGAGAUUGACUUGGUCUUUUUAGGACAAUAUCCCUACAAUCUCCAAAAGACGGGUAUGAGAUCUCUCUAUUGCAAUGGCAUAUUCUUUAAGUGAUGCCUAAAGGCCUCUCACCAAUUCGCUAGGGGAUGAUCUCGGAUCUCUCAUUCUCUAGUGAAGUCUCGGACUGACACAUUCUUCAAAUGAUGCCAAAAGACCUCUCACCAAUUCACUAGAGAUUGAUCUUGGAUCUCUCACCUCUCUAAUGCAAUCUCAGUUUGGUACCACUCUCUAGUGGGGGGUUUUCAUGUCUCAUGUGAUCCUAGAGAGGUUACAUACCUUCCAUACACCAUUGACCACUCUUUAAUGAGAGGAUCCCAAGCCCCCACGUCAUAACCAUGGAGGUUACAGACCUUUCAAGGCUCCUAAAUCCCCAUGCCAUCAUUAGGAAGGCUAUAAAACUCCCACUCUUCGAUGAGAUCUUUCUUCAAUUGAGGACUUUCAUGCCUCAUAUCAUCCUAGAAAGGUUACAUAACUUCCACACUCCAAUGCAACCACUCUUUAAAGGAUGGAUUUAGUUUUCCAGGGGUAAUAUAACCACCCUCCAUGAAUCUGUCCUUUUCACCCUUUAGAAAAUUUUCUAAAUAUAAGAGUCGAUAUGGGUUUGUUUCCCUCCACCCUUUAGGAAUUUUUCUAAGUAUAGACGUCGCUAUGGAUCACCCUCAUUGGGUUCUCCUCAACCUUUUAGAAUAUUUUCUAAGUAUAGGCUCACCCUCCAUUAGUUUCCCCAGCCACUUAGAAGUUUUUUAAAUAUAGACUCACCCUCCAUGAGUUUCCCAACCACUUAGAUUUUUUUCUAAGUUGGGUUUCUUCUCCAUAGGUUUCCCCUAACGUCUUAGAAAAAAAUUCUAAGUAUGGAGUCCUUUUAUAUCUCACCUCACUUUCCUAGAAAUUUUCUAAUUAUAGGUUCCUUCAUGGUUCCCCUCUAUAUACUAAGAAAUUUCUUCAAACAUCGUACAUGUUCCUACACACGGGUUCUCCAUUAAAUAACCUUGAGGUUUUCACUCCUCUUCUCAUACAAAGAAAAUUCAACGAACUCGUCAUGAUAACUGAGUAUUUUUACAAGUUUUUACGUAUCAAUAUUAUAAAGACUUGAGGGCUACUAAUAGAUUCAAAUUUAACGAGCCCAAAAAACCCCUAAAAAUCCUAAAAAAAUACCUAAAACAAAACUAGAAAGCAUCCUCUUUGGACCUAGGCCACCACACAUAAGCCCAACUGCUACCAAGAUGCAUGGGCUCGGGCAUGGUGGCCUAAACUCAUGCUGGGCAUGAUACUUUGGGGUUUUUAUUAAUAUUACCCUUCAAUAUUAAGUUGAUUUUUUUUUCUUUUAAUCUACCUAGUAAAUAAGGUCAUAUUAGGAUAAUUUCCACGUAAUUUAAUUUAAAACUUGGGCUAAGCAAAUAGUUAAGUUGGGAUUUUUUUCAAGUUUGAACAGUUCUGUCGAUUUUUAUGACAAUAUUAAAAAUUAGUUUAUGACAAUUUAAAUAUUAUUUUUAUGUUCAAUUUUUUUUAUCCAAAUCCUACGGAGAUCAACCAAUAAACUAGUUGAAUGCUAAAUACACAUGCAUCCUAUAUAUGAAUUAAUGUAUUCAUUUUAAAAAAAAUCUCUUUCUCGUGAUCUCUCUUUAAAUUUAUAUAUAAAAUGAUAACAAUAAAACAAAAUCGUUUAUGAUCAGAGUCAGAAACUCAAAGAUUACACAUGCAACAUUAACAUAUCCUCUCCCACCCUUCACUCUUUCCCUCUUAAUAAAAAGAAUAUUUGAAAUAUGUCAUUCAUCAUGCUUUUCAUAUGAAAUUUCCAUGAGGGGCAUGCGUAUUUACUAUACAGAGAUGAAAGGAGCCUUGGAACUUCUGAUUAGGAUAUUCAAUAUACUGAAAGGAUUGUAGUAGCUAAUUCCUUCUCCAUUUGUUUUUAAAUAAAAAAAUCUGAAAAAUACAGCUUGCUUGCUUGCUAGCUCUACCUGAAAGACACUGGAUUUUAUUUGCGUCUAUAACAUAUAUUAAUUAUAUAUUCUUGUCUUUUAAGUCAUCCUUGUAUACUUGUGAUUAUAAUUAUUAAUUAGACUCAUUUGUCAAUUGUUUUUAAUUAUUAAAACAAUAUAAUUUUAUUUUUUCUAAUAUAGACUUGAUUAAGAUUUGAUCAAAUCAACUAUUUCACUAAACUUAUGAGGAGACCAAUGAAGAAGCUCUAUCAUCCCACCUCAAAUACACUAAGCAUUGACCAUAUUGCAGCAAGGAGAGUAUUCAAAUUGAAGAUUUAAUAUCCCUUUCUUCUUUUAUAAGAAAAGUAUAUGUUAACGAACAAAAAAUUAUCAAUCUUUCACAUUAUCAAGAUGAAUUAAUUUUGUCUGCGUCUUGAAUGUGGAAUUAUACAAGAUUGUCAAUUAAGUGUUCUUGUCUUCGAAUAUAUAUUCUUUGCUUAAUUAUUACUUGCCAGCAAAGUAAGUAUACAUCGAUCUUAAUUUCAUGGUGUGAACUCAAAAAUUCGUCUGGACCGAAGGAAGACAGCGAAAGCAACUUUGAUAACAACAUUAAUCUCCAUGACCCUUUGGUCAUCUCGAAUUAGUAUUUGAAAACAUGAUUAAAACCGUAUUUUAAAAAAUUUAAUUUUUUUAUUUAAAAUUAAUUUUUUAAAUAUUUUUGAUAUAUUGAUGUCAUAAAUAAUUUUUAAAAAAUUAAAAAAUAUUAUUUUGAUGCAAAAAUCACUUUAAAUCACAAUUAUUACCACACUCUCAAACAUCCUAUACAAACCUAUUAAUUUGAUAUUGUAAUAAUGAUUAUUUUUUAAAAUAUUUUUUUUGUUUGAAAAUAUAUUAAAAUAAUAUAUUUUUUAAAAAAAAUUUAUUUGUAACAUUAACAUAUAUAAAAACAAUCGUAUUUAAAUGUGGAUCGGUGUGAUAAUUAAUGGCAACAUUCAAUGGUCCUUCAAGAAUGCCGUUGGGAUAGCUUCGGUUGCCUCUAUUGAUACUCUUCUUUUUGCUAAUAGCACUUCCAUUAAUUUCUUUAAGCUGCAAGAUGACAAUGUUGUCUCUUUCUAUCUUUUGAAAUGUGAAUAUUAUUCCUUAGAAAUAAUCCAAUAUUUUAUGUCAACUGUGAGACUCUUAAACUUUCAGAUUUAUAAAUAUAAUUUUUUUUAUCUAUAUUUAUACUCACAGUUUAUUAACAUAAAUUUUUCCAACAUGCAGUCAUAUUUUUUUAUUUUUUAUUAUAUUUUUUUUAAUUGUAACUUCCUCGAUAUAUUUCAAGUUUCGAAUAUCAAAAAUAUAGAAAACGAUAAGUUUGAUUUUUAAUAUUCCAAACUUGGAACAAAAUUAGUAGUCUCUUCAUCCAAUUUCGUUGGUGGUUUUCAUCGAAGUUAACGAUCAACUGGCAUGCAUGACGAAGUUCAUAACUUGGACUUUGAUAGAAUUGUGAGAAAGAAUCAACUCUUCCCACAAUCAUAAAUCCAAAAUUUCAAGGAUCUAUUUGUCCUUUACGAAAGUGUAAAUGUGUCAAGAUUAUUGAGCUACAAGGACUUCCACUUGUCGAAAGAAGAAAAAAAAUUGAUUAAAUCAUUUAACAGAUGGUCCAGUGGUAAUAAUUUGGGAUCAAGAGGUUUGCUCCCCCUGUGAUCUCAUGUUCGAACCCUGUUGUUGCUAAUAUUAUAACCAUUAGAGGCUUACAUAGUCGUUAACUUCAAGAUCUGUGAGAUUAAUUGAGGUGCGGGAAGUUUGAACAUCCAUGUUAAUAAAAAAAAAUUAUUUCAUGUAGGGUACCUUCACUAAAAAAAUUAAAAAUUAAAAAGAGGAAGGGAAAAGAAUUGUGUGGGGAUGCACUCUAACGUGGGCAAUUGAUUUGAUUCGGUUCGAACUAAUUCGAAUAAUCUAUUCAAAACAAUAGUACGGUUUGGUUUUCUAAUAAAAAAACUGAAUUAGUCCAUGGGUUUUUUUUAUUAGUAUUUUUUUUUACAACCUUUGAUAUAAUAAACUUUGGAUUUUUAUUUAAAAAAAAAACUUAAUUUAGCUUAAUUCUUUUCUCAGUUUCUCAAAUCUAAAACUAAAAUUGUAUGGAUUUAAUUUUUUUAAUUUUUAAUCUAUUUUUUAUUGAUUUUUAAAGUUGAUUUCUUAAUAAUUCAAUUCUUGAGUUAUUUACUCAUUAUCAAUGAAUUCUGUCCAAUACUUUAUUUGGUAAUAUUGUUAAACAUGUUUUUCAUAUUGUUUUUCCUCUGAAAAUUAUCAAAUUAAUGCUGUUAAUGAUGUUUUUCAUGAUUUUGAUAUAAUAAUGUUAAAAAGAAAUUAAGAAAUAUUAUUUAAUAUAUUUUUAAUUAAUUUUUUCUUUGUAAAAACUCCGUGGAUCACGUUACCAAACCAACAGUAACUCUACUCUUCACCCUCAUUGUUGCACGACCAUCAUGUGCCGAGCGGUCCCCCAAAGGAUUAUCAAAUCGAAGGUUGAACCGCUAUUGACGAUCCAAUCAAAAUCAAAAGCAUCACAGUACCGUGACAUUUGUCCAGCCAUCUGUUGCCACGUCAAAUCGCCUACUUUUUAUUGGGCAGCAUAAUAACCUAAAAUAAAGAAAAGAGCAAUGUAAUUUAGAUAAAUCCACAAACUGUAUCUUUGUAUUCGUGACCGACCAAUGGUAGCUUUUUGACUAAAUUUGUAAAAUCGAAGAAAGUGGUCACGAAUCUGUCGCAUACGAUCAUGACAGUUGUCAAGGAAUCUCUCUUCUUUUCUUCUUACAUUAUUACUUGCUCCAAUAAAAUGGAAUUGAUUAAUGAUGCCUUGUUGGAGUUCUUCUUUUCCUGAUUUUUAAUUAAGAAAAUAACAGCAUAUAAAUUUUAGAUGGAAAGAAACGUAUAUAUUAAAUCCGGUCCAAGAUCUAAGAUACUAAUUGAUAGGAUUAAUCUCAAAAUAAUAUUGUUUUAGGAUAUAUAUUUUUUUAAAAAUAAAAUGGUAUUGUUUUGAAAAAAAAAACUUUUAGAGUUGAUUCGAACGAGUUUUACCGGUAUUUGACAGAAUUAAUUGUGUUAUUGUGUGAGUUAGUAAGUUAUUGAAUCGAUUUAUCAAGUAAAUCGAGUUUAAUAAUUAUAAAAUAAUUAUUGUUAUUGAAUAAUUAAGAUUCUAUCAAGCUUUCAUCAAUAAAUUAAUAAAUAAAAUAAAAUUAAUAUUGAACUGACGGUGUAUAUAUUAUAGGUUAAAAAAAACUUUUAGAGUUGAUUCGAACGAGUUUUACCGGUAUUUAACAGAAUUAAUUGUGUUAUUGUGUGAGUUAGUAAGUUACUGAAUCGAUUUACCAAGUAAAUCGAGUUUAAUAACUAUAAAAUAAUUAUUGUUAUUGAAUAAUUAAGAUUCUAUCAAGCCGGUGAGAAUCUAUUCGGAAACAUACUUUACAAAAAGUGAGAUAUUAUUCCUCGAAUUUAUUAUUAGAAUUUUCAUAUUUUUCUUAAUAUCUUUUAAUUUUAGAUCCCAAUUAUGAAAUUUAAAUCCAUCUCAUUUCAAUAAUUGAAAUUAAGAUUUUGUGAACUGCCAAUAACAUUUAAUUAAUCUAUCAAAGGAUGAGCUAGUUCUGCUAGCUUAAACCUGACGUCCAUGCCUAACGUGGAUUCGUUAACUUCUUCUUAGAAAGUUCUUACUCCGUCCCUCGACGUUUGUCAAGAGCUCUUACAAGGAAAAGGCCAUUUGCCCCCUUGUGCUCGAUCGGUCCUAAAAAUAAAGGGAAAAGGUUGAUGAAAGACAUUAAGACAGGUAUUUCUUCUUGCUGCUUUAUUUUCGUGAACUGUCCGGGAAAUUAUUAAAAACGAGCUACUUUCUCGGCUUAUUAAACAAUAUAAAGUGAAAAGAGACAGCUCGGCAAGUUUCCAGGGGAAUAAAUAGACUGACAUUUGGUUGAAUAUUGUUUUCCCUUUUUUUUUUUUUUUAAUGAUUGAACCUAAAGCUGUUUAAUUUAUUGAGAAUAAUCCUAGUAAUUUUAGAAUUAAUAAUAGAAUUUGGCAACCCAUUUUAAUUUCAUGACAUUUUUAUUUUUUCAUUAUAUUCUCUUAAAUGUAUUAAUUUAGACACGUGUAUAAAUAUUAUGCUGUAAUACAAGAAUAUUCUAAUUGUUAAAAUAUCAUUUACAUGAUUUUUUUCAUGAUAUAUCAUUUAAGAUUUGGAUUUAAGAAAACAUUACACUAAAAGAGAAAAAUAUCUCCCAAUCACACUUGGUCGAAAAUGAGUAGUAUACUUAAAAUCUUCUCCUUCCAAUCGAGAUCACUCAAGUUAAACCAGAUCCAAAACAAGUUGAAUUUAUUACUCGGAUUAAAUAAAUAAAUAAUAUUAUUUUAAUAUAUAUAUUUUUAAAAAAUUAAGAUAAUAAUUUCUUUUUUUGAAAAUCAAAUAAUCUUUUUAUCUUUUUACGUGGUUGUGGUUGUGAGUUAGCAUGAUCUAUAUUUAACCUGAAUUAACUCUUUUUUAUUUUUUUUUAAACCUGACUUAAGUUAGAUUUCUAAAUCAACUCAAAUUUAUUUUAAGUUUAAUAACAACUAAAUAAUCACUAUGUUGCGGGUCGGAUUAUUAUUUUUUAAUGUAAAAAAAUAUCUUGGCAUUACUAAUGUUUUUUAUAUUAGAAAAAAAACAUGUGAGAAUUAAUCUGAUGUGAUUUUGUUGUCAUAGUGAGUCCAAAGAUAACUCGUAUUACCAGUAAAAAUAUAGUUUGACUUAAAAUAAAUAUUUUAAAUGAGAUUUUUUUAAUAAAUAUUGAAACAAUAAUAUAUCAAAUAGAUUCAGGUCAACUCAUGUUAACCUCCUAAUUUGCAUACCAUGUCAUGAGAUAAUGAUAACUCUAUAAAAAACAAAUAAAAACAAAUUACAAAACUCAAUUUUCAAUAAUAUCAAUAUUGAAUGAUGAAACUGAAAAAAAAACCCACAAAAAUGAUUUGAGUCAACCCGGAUUAACCUGUCAAACUCAUGACCAUGAUCAUGAAACUAGAAUAACCUAAUAGAAAGCAUAACAAAAUAAAUUAAGAAUCUUAAUUCUCAAUUAACCAGUGUUGAAAGAUGAAAUAAAAAAAAUCGAUGAGAAAUGAACAAAAAAGAGACUUAGGUCAACCAAGGUUAAUUGCCAAACUUGUGACCCGAAUAAUGAAAUGGAGAUAACACAUAUCAAAAUAAAUCACGAAAUCUAAUUUUUAUUAACCUCAUAUUGAAGGAUGAAAUUGAAAAAAAACAAAAUAAAAAAAACUUAAAUCAAUCGAAUUACUUUGUCAAAUCUGUAGUUCGAGUUUAAGAUAACUUUAUAAAAAAUAAAUUUAAAUUAUACGGUUGAAUUCUUAAUAAAAUUAAUAUUAAAUAAUAAAAUUAAAAAAAAAAAACCCUUUCCCCUCCAAUUUUUUUUUGGUUAAUAAUAAUCAUCAUCGUCCUAGAAGGACUGUAUAAUUUAUAGGAAAAUUUUAUUAAACUAUAACAAUAGACAACUCAGCAGAGGAAGUGAGUUCUACCUUCCAAUGUCUUGGCUUGGCUUUUAACAGUAUACUGCAACAUCAUUUUCUAUCUGUCUUUCUUUGCCUCCCCCUCCACAGGGGCACAACCAUCUGUCUAAGAGUUGAAAAAACCAUCUGUCUAAUACACAUUCUCAACAAAAUUCAAGAAUUCACACCACCCCAUUUUCAUUUUUGAGAACCUUCAAAUCCCAACAUAAAACUUUUUUUGAUUCUGUCCAAAACUUGAAGAAACCAAAGAACAACCUUAAAAAAAAAAAAAAAAACAGUUCUUUUAGUUAACUAAUAUAUAUAUAUUCUUGGUUGGUUUUCAUUUUUGGUUUUGCCACCAAAAAUGAAGCCAAGACCAACUCUUUUAGUCUCAAUAGCUUUCUUUGUGUUUUUCUCAUUGAAUUCGUUAUCUACCGUGGAGUCAGAUCUAGCUUCUGAGAGGGCAGCUUUGGUAACUCUACGUGAUGCAGUUGGAGGCAGAUCACUUUUGUGGAACCUGUCAGAGAAUCCAUGUCAAUGGGUGGGAGUGUUUUGUGACCAAAAGAACAGUACGGUUGUUGAGUUAAGGUUACCUGCCAUGGGAUUUUCAGGGCAGCUGCCUGUUGCACUUGGAAAUUUAACAAGUUUGCAAACACUGUCUUUGAGGUUCAAUGCACUUUCAGGGCGAAUUCCAGCUGAUAUAGGCGAUAUUAUUUCUCUACGUAAUCUUUAUUUGCAAGGG
rnacentral:lncRNA from 1 species